rnacentral:lncRNA from 1 species
AUUGCGUACCUUUGCGCUUCCAGCGAAAUUAAAAACAACAUACAUGCUUAAUUAUUCAACCGAAUUUAAAUCAAUUAGCAUGCUCGCGUUUAAAUCAAAUAAUCAUGCUCGCAAUAAAUAAACGAUUUCAUGUAGUAACAUAAAAUCAUACAAGAACGAACAUAAACAUUCUAUUUAAACGUAAACGAAUCAAAGAACAAUGAAUUCGUGAGUUUACCUCUUGAAGCGUGAGGUAGGCGCACUAAGCAAAACGAGAUUUCUACGGGAACCAAUCCGUACAAUCCGGGGCAGCAGCGGUGGAGCGGCAGCAGCGGCAAGACGAGCCACGGCGGCGCGUGUGACUCACGCGCGGUCUUCAGGCGGCGCGUGGGGAUGCGUGCCGCUUCGGCUCGUGUGCUACGCAUCGAUUCUUCGAUCUUCGAUCUUCCUCCUCUCGUAUUUCACCUCGUAUACUUCGAUCUACUAAACACGUGGCACUAGACACGUAAUAGUUAGAAAAAUGGAAGAAAAAAAAAGAAGGAAAGGAAUACCGAAAGGGAUCGGCCAAUGGAUGGCCGAUUCCGGCAAUGUUCCGGCGACGACGGCAGGGUGGCCGCAGGAGAUGGCCGAGAUAGAGAGAGAGGGAGCGGCUAGGGUUAGGGUUUUCUUGUGUUUUUUUUGUGCAUGACCUAUAAAUCAAGUAUUUAUAGUGUCUUGCAUAAAACCCUAACGGGCUUAAGUUGGACCGGGCCCAACAACUUAAGCUCGUUAGUUCUUUUACUUGCUCGUCUCUCUCAAUUCAAUGAUCGAAAAAUUGUAACGAUUACAUUUUCGGAAUCAUUAUAAUGUCCUCGUCAUUACGAGUGCCAACUCUCGAUUUCCAACUUUCCAAAAGUGGAAACCCUAAUUCUGUGCAGUUUCUAAAUUUGGAAACUUCCCGAUUUAGAAACUCCACUAAUACGUUUGCCUAUUCUUUUCCUUUUCUUAUUCUCAUUCAUAAUUCCAAAUUACAAAUGUUGGACCCAAUCAUAUUGACUUCCAAUCAUGCAAAGAUAAACCAUUUUAUCUCUGACCGUUUAUUCAGAGAUCUCAUGUGCACGAGCAGUGUGACCCUCGAUGGUUCAGGUGUAAGCUAGCCGUGGGCCCACAACCCUUUGUGGUCAAAACUCGUCCCUUAGAGUUACGAUUAAGAUGAAGCUCGUUUCACCUUAAUCACCCAAUGAAUCAAAAUUGGCGUCUAGCAACUACGCGUCAUGAUUCCCUAGAUACAAAUGAAGUGCCUGCAAGAACCUUCAGAUAUAGUUAACGUACAGUACGGUCCCUUCGGUUCAUAUGUCCCGAUUGAACUAGAGGCAUUGGUUCGUCGAGACCUCUUUAUUUGUUCAAUGACGGUGCGAUCGUUCUAAGUGUUGUAAUUGUUACGUGCAUGACUUAGAGAAUCGAAUUCUCUAAUCAUCACUUAGUCAGCUCUAGCCAGAGACUUAGAAUGAUUACAAACUUUCAGAACACAGAGGACAUCCAUGACUAUUCUAGAGAUCGAAUCCCCGACUAUAAUGCACAGACCUCCCACUAGAUUUUAGACUGCACGAACACUGGCCCUUGGGAUGGUCCUCGGUGGAACUCAGGGAAAGGUCACGAUACAGCUGGUCCUCUAGUGAAGUCACGGUGAUGUCUAGGUCAUAAGGACUAAUGGUGUACAACUAUACCAUAGAUAUCUCUACUCGAUUAUUGAGAACCACUUAGAUAUUUCUAGGGUGAGGGAGUUCAGUGAACUCGUCAACUUAUGAGCACCCACUUAUGCAUGCCGAUAUCACAAUACCGUCUACUGAUGAGAUGCAGCACACAUACACUAAGUGCUAGUCUCUUAACGGGAAAUGCCGAUAUCCUCAUUGGUGGCGUAACCCUUCGACUAGGAACAAGUUUAACAGUUAUAAUACUUAAGUAAAUAUCUCACGAUCCUAAUAAUCAAUUAAUAGUACUUGUAAUAACUGUAAGGACUAUAUCUAUGCUUGUGACAAAGGGACAAAGAUAUAGAAUGCCAAGUUGUUUUAUCAUUAAUACGAAUAAAGGUUCGUUUAUUACCAUAAUAAAUACGAAAGACCACAGCCACAUGUUGGCUUGUUGAUCACCUACUCUAACAAUAUUAAGAAAAAUAGCCUCAAAUUAAACAUUAGCUGAUGCAACACAACUACAACAUAUUGCUCUUGUUUCGACAAAGUCAUCGCAAGGCGACAAGUUCCUACAAUAUGCUCACAAAAAUCAUUCAAAAUAUAUAAGGAAAAUGACAUCGACAACAAAUCUUAUACGACAGAAUACACAAUAUUAGGAAAAAAAAAAAAUCACCCAAAUUCGGUUUGGUAUAUUUACGCACAAAUGUUACAAAUUAGGCUAAAUACAUAAUGUAUUUUUAAAACUGUAAUAAAAUACAAACUACACACAAUAAUUAAAUCAGAACUGAGUACAUACCCGACGGAUUGAUUUAAUUCGAUGAACCCGGUGUUCUGCAAGAGGAUAUUUGUAUACAAUUUUACCAAAUCAGCUGAUGCAGAAUAUGAACAAACGACCACCUUAAAUUGGUAAUCAUGUUAGACGGAUUUAUGAAGUAGUGUGACUAAUUAAAACAGGAGACAUGAUGAACACGAAAAUAAAAUUUGUAACAAAUUAAACCGAUUAGCCGGAGCAGAAGAAUAACGACAUCACUAACGCAGGCGAUCUUCAGUGACUGGGUAAUGGUGCCAUUUGCCUAACGAAAGUAAAUAGUUCAGAUGAUAUGGGUAUUUGUAAGAUUGAGUUGUAAAAAAUCGAACUUCAAAAUGGUGCAGAAGAUGCAAAAUUUACCUUUAAUUGAAAUUAGGGUUUACUGAUGUCAGGAGAGAGGGAUUUUUUUAUAAGGAAAUUUGGUUUUUAUAUGAAAGAAUUCAGUAAUUAACUAAGUCAUGUAAGGGCAAAAAAGACCUUGCACAACCCAUUACAUGAUGGGAUUAAAUGAUGACGAAUUGUCAAGCGAAUAUUGACGUGACUGUGAAUAAUUCGAUUGGGGGAUAGAAAUCAUAGGCCCAGUUAUCAAGCCUUCACCAAACCGCCGAAACAGCAAACACGAAGAUAUUAACACCAAGAUAUUAACAGUCCCGUCGAGCCUAAUAAUGCAAACCAAAGAGGCCCUAAAAGCACUAUCUAUCAUUACACUCUAAAUUUCAAAACAAAAUAGAAAGUGUCCAAAAGAAGGUUACAAAAAGCCCAUCAGCCCAACACAUUUUCCUUUGUCCGGCUUUGGAAGGAAGCCAUUGAUAAAGCUAAAAGCCCCCUCUUUUCUUCCUCCCCAGCAUAGAAUUUCUCGAGAAAAAGCCCACACACACACACACACAACACACACAAUUUCUAUAUUCAUUCUUUCUGCAGUCUCGAACAUUCUGACUGGGUGUUCUCAUUCCUUUCUCUCCGCACCUGUAAUCGGUAAGAUCAUUCCUCACUCCACCUCUUUCUCUUAGGGAUUCGAUUCUACUGUUUUUUUUUAUAAAUAUAAUCUUCAAUCGCUUUUCAAAAUGGCUUCACUUUUCACCGCUCAAUUCGUGGGCAAAGGGUUUUUAUUCUUCGUAAUCGUCGCCGCCGCAAUUGCAGUUUUCCUACAGGCGCCGAUCUAUUCCAAUUCGUUUUUGUAUUUGAAUAAUAGCUUUCGUUUCGAAAUUUUGAUAUAUAUUUCGCUGAUUUUGUUGAUUUUGAUGGUAAUUCGGCUUGUUUUUAGCAACUUGCUGCACUAUAUGCUUCCCAGAAAGAGACCAGGGGAAGGCGAGGCUGUAAACGAACCCGAUUCCCAGAACUCUGUUAAGAAGCAUCGGAUUAUUUCCUCCGCAGAGAGCGAGAAUACCGGGGAGACCGCUACACUCGGCGUGGGAGAUAGUUUCAGUAAGAGAAGCACAGACUGUGAGGAAGCCACGAUUACCGAAAUGGCCUUCGAUAAUGGAACUCCGUGCGAUAUCGAUGAGGAUUUGCACAGUCGGCAGCUUGCAGUUUAUGGGAGGGAGACGAUGAGGCGGCUUUUUGCGUCUAACGUUCUUGUGUCUGGAAUGCAGGGCCUUGGGGUUGAGAUUGGUAUGUACAAAUUUUCCCACUUUCGGAUGCACUUAAAUAAUAUUUUCUCUGAUUGUUUUGGUGGUGUAUAUGUAUGUAGACUUGCAUUUCUUAUCGGCUUUUCUGUAAUUUGUGAGCUAUGAAUCAAUUUGAGUUGUCAAUCUGAUUCAAGAUGCAGUUAAUGAAAUAAGAAGUAUAACAUAUGCAGUUGAUGGUAUUUAUUUCCAUUCCGUUUGGACCUUUUGCCUGUGGUUUCGUCAUAUUAGCAGUCAUUUUUUAGUUUAUAUUGGUUUUGGAAUAUUAGUUUGCAAAUUUUGAGGGUAAUAUUUAGAUAGUGAAGCAUUUAUCUUCUUAUCAACUGGUUUUGCUGAUAAUAUGAAUCUUAUUUGCUUGAAUAAGUACUCUUGAGGUGUGAGUUUAACAUAUCUGAUUUUUGUAAACUCUUGCAGCGAAGAACCUUAUUCUUGCUGGAGUAAAGUCUGUGACGUUGCAUGAUGAAGGGACGGUGGAGAUGUGGGAUAUGUCUAGUAACUUUGUUUUCUCGGAAAAGGAUUUGGGUAAGAACAGGGCACUCGCUUCAAUUCAGAAGCUACAAGAACUCAAUAAUGCUGUAGCUAUCUCGACUUUGACUACAAAGUUGACUAAAGAACAACUUUCUGACUUCCAGGUAAUUUUAUUCAAAUUUUUUUCAUUUAAAAUUGCAGUACUGCACAGACUCAUAACCAUUCAAAGACGAAAAACAUUCCCCGUGUUCUAUAUUUCCCUUGCAUCAAUAACACAUCAGCCCGCAGAUAUUGUGCAAUAAUAGUAUGAACAAUUUAUAAGAUAAUUGGUCCAAUUGGCUGGUGCCUGCUUUAUCAUAAGGUCAAGUAUCUUAUCCGUGCAUGUUCUGACAGCUAGCUUUCAUGCAUGCUUAGCAUUUCCUCUAUCCUAACCAUUUGAUUAACUCGAUCAAUCACUUGCUUGCGUACUUUGGCAACUAUUCGGACUUUGCUAAUAUUUACGAAAUUGCAUGCAUUUUGUAGAUGUUGCAUUAUUACUAAUAAGCAUGAACGCAUCUGUUAUGAAUGCAGGCUGUGGUUUUUACUGACAUCAAUUUGGAGAGUGCCAUUGAGUUCAAUGACUACUGUCACAACCACAAGCCUCCUAUUGCUUUCAUUAAGGCAGAAGUGAGAGGCCUUUUUGGUAGUACUUUUUGUGAUUUCGGACCUGAGUUCACAGUCUUUGAUGUCGAUGGCAAUGAGCCUCAUACGGGCAUCAUUGCAUCUAUUGGUAAUGACAACCCUGCUCUUGUGUCAUGUGUGGAUGAUGAAAGGCUGGAGUUUGAGGAUGGGGAUCUGGUUGUGUUCUCAGAAAUUCGGGGAAUGACAGAACUGAAUGAUGGAAAGCCAAGAAAGAUUAAAAAUGCACGGCCCUACUCUUUCACCCUUGAGGAAGAUACAACUAACUUUGGUGCAUAUGAGAGAGGUGGAAUCGUAACUCAGGUUAAGCAGCCGAAGGUUUUGAAGUUCAAGCCACUGAGGGAAGCCAUCAAAGAUCCCGGUGAUUUCCUUCUUUCUGAUUUUUCUAAGUUUGACAGACCGCCUCUCUUGCAUUUGGCAUUUCAAUCGCUAGAUAAGUUUGUGGCUGAGUUGGGGCGCUUCCCGGUUGCUGGUUCUGAAGAGGACGCUCAAAAGUUGAUAUCUAUAACCACUGAUCUUAAUGAGAGCUUAGGUGAAGGAAAACUGGAUGACAUUAAUCCAAAACUUCUGCGACACUUUGCUUUUGGGGCCCGAGCUGUACUCAAUCCUAUGGCUGCCAUGUUUGGUGGCAUUGUGGGGCAGGAGGUUAUGAAAGCAUGCUCUGGGAAGUUUCAUCCUCUUUUUCAGGUGAUUAUUAUUUCUCAUUCUAAUUUUCUUCACGCUAUUUCUUUUUCCACCUUCGUGUUCGCCCUUUCUCUUAUUGCAUUUCGUCCCUCUUCCCUUUGGGUGGGUUAGACUUUGAAUUAUAACUUAUAAGACCGAGAAAAGCAUAAGAAUACCGAAAUGGCUCAGAAAUAUGACCUGCAUGCAUAAAUAAAUGCCCUAAUGGGCUGUAAGAUUUAAUUGCUCUCUCUUAUAAUUGAGUCACAAUGAUCACACAUAGAUUAAUUACAAUGAGAAGAAUAAUGAUAUAUUAGCAUUUAUUUCUAUAAAUUUUUGCAAUCUUACAAAUACUUGAAAGUAUCAACUUUGAUUUUUAACAGUUUCCCUCAAGUUUAACAUGUAAAUUGGUACAUAUGUUCAUUGGUCAACUAAUUUGAACAAAUUAUGAAUUCAUGGUAGUUUUGUGGUUGAAGAUCCGUUAUUAGAUAAAAUACGCAAGUAUGACAUAUCAUGUAAUAAACAAGCAAAAUGUUUAAUCAAGAAUGAUACGAAUGAAUGUAAGAAAAAUUAUAAAGAGUGCACCCUCAGUGAGUGGGGAGGGCUGGUGGAAUUAUAGGUAGCUAUUUGAGGUGUUUGGAGCGGUCAUUCAAGGUGCAUGAAAACAUUAAAGUGUGUAGAUUUUGGUGAUUUUGAACACUAUUUUGUUUUGGUCAUCUUUCUGAGCUACAGCAGUGGCAUGUUGAACGGUUCACGUACCAUCACAUUUGCAGUGUGGCUGGAGAUUUUUUUUCUGUCUUGGUCUUUCUUCUGUAUGUUGUGCAAUUUAGGACUCUUUGUCGCCUUAUUAUGUGAAUUUUUCUCCUUGGUAUACUAUUUAUAAAGUUCAUAUGAUUUUUUAUGUUUGUACAAUUGCUCAACCUCUUUUUCUUGAAUUCUAUUUUUCGGAGCAGCAAGUUAUGUAAUAUAGCUAGCUAACCAUUUCUAUUAUCAUGUUUGUGCAGUUCUUCUACUUUGACUCAGUAGAGUCACUUCCUACCGAGCCGUUAGAUCCCAGUGAUUUCAAACCAUUGAAUAGCCGUUAUGAUGCCCAGAUUUCUGUGUUUGGGUCUAAGCUUCAAAAGAAGCUAGAAGAUGCAAUAGUGUUUGUCGUUGGAUCUGGUGCUCUCGGCUGCGAGUUUCUGAAGAAUUUGGCUCUAAUGGGAGUUUCAUGUGGAAAACACGGGAAGUUGACUAUUACCGAUGAUGACGUAAUAGAGAAGAGUAACCUAAGCAGGCAAUUCCUAUUCCGAGAUUGGAACAUAGGACAACCAAAAUCCACUGUAGCUGCUUCUGCUGCUUCGUCAAUAAAUCCUCUUAUGCACAUCGAAGCUUUGCAGAAUCGAGUGGGCACCGAGACAGAGAGCGUUUUUCAUGAUGCCUUUUGGGAGAAUCUCAAUGUUGUCAUUAACGCACUCGACAAUGUAAAUGCCAGGCUUUAUGUCGACCAGAGAUGUUUGUAUUUCCAAAAACCACUUCUCGAGUCUGGAACAUUAGGUGCCAAAUGCAACACUCAAAUGGUUAUUCCUCAUCUCACAGAAAAUUACGGUGCUUCGCGCGAUCCGCCAGAGAAACAAGCGCCCAUGUGUACUGUGCACUCUUUCCCACACAAUAUUGACCACUGCUUGACUUGGGCCAGAUCGGAAUUCGAAGGCUUGCUCGAAAAAACACCCGCUGAAGCAAAUGCUUAUCUCUCUAACCCUAGUGAGUACACAUCUGCAAUGAGAAGUGCCGGCGAUGCUCAAGCCAGAGACAAUUUGGAACGUGUAAUCGAGUGCCUUGAUAGUGAGCGAUGUGAAUCGUUCCAAGAUUGUAUUACAUGGGCUCGUCUAAAGUAAAUUCCCAAUAUUAUAUUGUUUGUAAUCUCGUUUGUAUGUUUAGCUACAACUUCUCUCGUUUGGAUUUCUAAUUUAUUAAGUCUUUACUAAUUGGCAGGUUUGAAGAUUACUUCUCAAACAGGGUGAAGCAGUUGACUUAUACCUUUCCUGAAGAUGCUGCAACGAGUACCGGUGCACCUUUCUGGUCAGCCCCAAAGCGGUUCCCUCGUGCCGUGCAGUUCGAGACCAGUGAUAGCAGCCAUCUUCAUUUUAUAAUGGCUGCAUCCAUACUGAGAGCAGAGACAUUUGGCAUCCCUAUACCUGACUGGGUAAAGAACCCUAAGAAAUUGGCCGAGGCCAUUGAUAAAAUCAUUGUCCCUGAUUUUAAACCUAAAGCAGACGUGAAAAUUGUUACGGAUGAGAGAGCUACUACUCUCGCUACCGCUUCCGUGGAUGAUGCUGAUGUUAUUAAUCAAUUAAUUUCGAAGCUGGAGCAGUAUCGGAAGAAUAUACCAUCAGACUUCAGGAUGAAACCAAUUCAGUUUGAAAAGGUUCGUCGUCUCCUUUCUCUUUAAAACUAAGAUGUUGUGAUGAAUUGCCUAAGCAAAAUUUAUGGUUAAUGAGCUUUCUUAAUUUUAAAAUCUAUUAUUGUCAGUAUGUGUAGCUUUAUGAACACGUUACGCCGGAGGAUUCGUUUCGAUCUUGACAUUACGUGUAAAAAAAAAAUUUGCAGGACGACGACACAAACUACCACAUGGACAUGAUAGCGGCACUGGCAAACAUGAGGGCAAGAAACUACAGCAUCCCCGAAGUUGACAAGCUUCAGGCCAAACUCAUCGCAGGUAGAAUCAUUCCAGCCAUCGCAACCGCCACUGCAAUGGCGACCGGUCUGGUCUGCCUCGAUCUCUACAAAGUAAUCGACGGGUCCCACAAAUUAGAAGACUAUCGCAACACGUUCGCCAACCUGGCCCUUCCCUUAUUCUCCAUCGCCGAACCGGUGGGCCCCAAAGUCAUCAAGCACCAGAAUCUGAGCUGGACUGUGUGGGACCGCUGGAUCAUUAAAAACAAUCCGACUUUAAGGGAGCUACUCCAAUGGCUAUCCGACAAGGGGCUCAAUGCUUACAGCAUUUCUUUCGGGAGCUGUUUGCUGUACAAUAGCAUGUUUCCUAGGCAUAAGGAGAGAAUGGACAAGACGAUGGCUGACCUGGCGAGGGAUGUGGCUAAGGUGGAGCUUCCACCGUACCGUAAUCACUUGGAUGUUGUGGUCGCGUGCGAGGAUGACGAUGAUAAUGAUGUUGAUAUUCCUCAGGUGUCGGUUUAUUUCCGUUGAAAUGUUUUUCUUUAAUGUUUGGAUAAAUUAAUAGACGGGAUUUUCUUAUAUUUUCCGUCCCCCCCUUUUUUCAUUAUUAGUGUUUCGGUAACUUUUCGAAAGAUUGUUGUUUUGUAAGCACUUUGAUAUGUUUGUUGUUGUCUGUUAUUGUUAUACUUGUGAUGGAUUAACAUAUUUGGGGGCAGUGUUUGUUGUUUGUUCUUCUGUGUUCUUAGCCAAUUGUGUAACUGGUUUACUUUGGUCUGUUUUGUUUUGGUGGAUCUGCUAAAUUUUCUUUCUAUUGCCUUCCAUUGUGGAUUGUGUUGGAACCAAUAAUUUUAUAAAGUUCCCUUUAGGAUUACCUUUUUUUUUUUUUUUUUUUAAAUAAAAAAUUCAACUUAAACUCAUUAUUAUAUUAUUUUUAUUACUAUCAAACAAUUUUUUUUGAAUUAAAAAAGUAUAAAAAUACAAUAAUUUUUACUUAAUAAUAAAAAUUGAAAUUUAAAUGCCGUUUGAAUUCUGCUAAUACAAUUUUGACUUAGAAUCGGAUUUUGACCAUUUUCUAGUCCGAUUUUGGCAAAAUACAAAACACGGAUAUCGUAGCCCUUUGUAUUAGCUUUGUAAUUCAACACAAGUCAGCUAAUUUUGAUGUCGGAUGACAAAGUUAUGCAUGAAUGAGUUACGUUUUGAAUUUUAGAUAACUCAAAUUAUCAAAUUUGUUGGAAGUGUGAGUUCAUUGAUUUAUGAUAAACUUUCUCAUCCGAUUUCAAUCUUGGUGAUUCAAGUUGGAUUAGAAAUUUACUUUGAAAAACUACAAAUUUUGUGUUAUGAGUUUUGCCUAAUUCAGACUAAAAAAUGGUAAAAAUUAUGUUCGAAGUUAAAAUGGGUUGGAUUUGUAAUUUAAACAAAUUUCAAGUGGGAUUUGUGUAAUUAUUUUAAAUGUUGAGGGGUUUAGUUAUGAUUGUAACAAGUGAGGAAUGUUUGUCUCAUUUACUCAUUAUUUUAUUUAAUUAAUGAAAUAUUAACUUGUAAAAUAUAUAAUAUUUGUUUAUCUAGUAUAUUAUGAAAUGUAAUAGUUCAGAAUAUGCUUAGCCAAACACCAACUGAAUAUAUGACCAUUCCAUGAAAUCAAAUUACGAAUAAACGUUUGGAAAAAACACAUAAUUAAUUAUAUGAUUAACACAAAAACCACAAUUAUGAAAGAAAUAUUAAUUUCUUAAUACGAACUGUGCAAAUGAAUCUUCAUUCUACUAAUAUGUUUCUUUUUUGAGAGAAUUCAUUUUAUUAAUAUAUUAUUUUUUUUAUUAUUAAUAUUCAUUUUACUCAUUUCACAAAUGAUCUUAACAAAUGUAGUUAUUAGUCAAUAUGGUACGAUAGAGGUGUUUAGACAUGGCCACGGGCCGGUUCGGGCCGGUUCCGGGCCGGUUCAUACCGGUUCACGGUUCACAUUUUCCGGAACCGGAACUGGUCCGUAAUAUGCACGGUUCGGCGGGCCGGUUCCGGGUCGGCCCAGAAAUUUUGAUUUUUUUUUUUUUUUUUGAAAUAUUUGAUGAAUAAGUAAAUUAAAAGAAAUAAGUUUAAAUAGAAAAAAGAAAAGGAAAUAAAUGAAAAGACUUGAACUUAAUUUUAAAUUCAAAAUUUUAAAAAUUUCGAAUUUAAAAUGAAGUUGCCUACGUAACCAUUACGGAAUCAAAGUCCACGUAGUUCUCUUACCUUCACUUACCUCCCUAGUCGUCGCUAGACAGAGUGUGUAGAGUAAAAGUACGACUUGCUGAAGCUGAAGUCCCACUUUCGACGUAAGCUUCAUCGCGAUCGUCAUCAUCAUCAACAACGAGGUGGUCGUCUUUGUGUCGGAAAUUGCUUUUUCCCCAAUUAUCCAAACAAAGUUGUGCUUUUAAAUUUUCGGGGGGAGAUUGCUUCUUCUUUGAUCCAAUAUAUGGCCCGCGAUACUAAAUGCAGCUUCGACUGCAACUGUGGAUACGGGGCAAGCGAGAACAUCUUUUGCAAUCAUCGACAUAAUUGGGAACGCUGAACUCUUUGACUUCCACCAAUCUAAUAUAUCAAACUUGGAAAAGGCACUUGGAUCUUCAUCAUGAAGAAAAUCAAAAUGAAUGGUUAGAUAUUGGUCAAGUUCCAAUCGUUGAACCCAUGGACCUCGGGCGCUUUAAGCGCUCAAACACCAAUCGUUGACCCGUCUUCAUAUUGGAAGUAUCCGUAGACUCUCGAUUAACUUGUAAAUUUUGAGAUCCACUCAUUUCACUAACAUAUUCAUCAAACAUUGCAUGCAAAGUACUAGUAGCUUGAAGUAUAAUAAGAUCCACAUUAGGUUUAACAGAAGGAGGAGGAGCGUUAGGAUCAAUACUAACGAUAACAUCAUUUUCCGGAAACAAAUGAUUGUAAUACACCUUUAACAACUCAGUUAACAAUUCAAUCCUAAAUCUAGGAUCCAAAAUGCAACCAACCAAAUAUAUCUCAUCAAUUUUAUCAUAAUAUUUCAACCAUUUCUUUUUCAUUUCAACCACACAAUUUUUUAAAAUAUCUUUUUUUUCAGCGGUCGCAAAACCCUCGGCAAUAUUGCACAAAUAAUAAAUAACCAAAUGACAUGUUGGAUAUGAGGAACCAGAUAAGACAUUAGUAGCUUCUGAGAAAAUUUCCAAAACACUACAUAUUUCAAUGCAUGCAUCCCAUUGAUUGUUUAAAACAAAUAAUCCAGUAGCAGGCAAUUGUGUGCUAAAAAAGUUGCAUAACAAAUUUCGAUAUUCAUAAGUUUGGCUUAACAAUUUAUAGGUUGAAUUCCAACGGGUACUAACAUCUCGUGAAAACGCAAUAGGAUGUUUGUCAUUUUCCCUACAAAAUCUAUUCCAUCGUUUCACAAUAGAUGCGUGUUGCCAUAUAUAAGAAACUAGAGCUCUAAUAGGAGAAAUAUGAUUUUGUAACAUUGUUAAACCAUCUUGCACACAUAGAUUCAAAACAUGACAAAUGCAUCUAACAUGGAAAAACCUUCCCCUAAAAUUGGCAUGCAUUUCUCUCGGAGUGCGGGGAUACUAGCCGUAUUGGCACUUGCAUUAUCAAAUGAAACCGAAAAAACUCUUUAAGUAAGCAAAUAAUCAUCUAAAAUUUGUGAAAGCGUCAUUGCCAUUUGUGCAGCAGUAUGACCAGUAUUCAUAACCGAAAAAGCAAUAAUUUUGUUCUCAAGUUUCCAUGCACUAUUAACCCAAUGACAAAUAACACCCAUGAAAUCAUUACGACGCCAAUGAUCACUCCAAAUAUCAGAACAAAUAGACACUUUAUUAUUCAUGGACAACAAUUGUUCCCUUAAAAUAUUUUUUUCUCUUUCAAAAAUACUUCUAGUGGUGCGUGUAGUGGUUGAUCUAGGUUGACGAGUGCAAUUAGGACCAUACAUCCCUUUAAAUUCAUUCAUUAUGCAAUCAUUAUCGGCAAAACCAAAUGAAAGGUGACCAUAGCAAUAACCAUAGCCCACCCUUCUUUUUCUUUUUGUUUCGAAUAUUUAAAUAAAGAAGAAUCGUUACCUCUCUGUGAAGAUCCGGUUUGCAAUUGAGUUUGACUUUUGUUGAUGCCUAGAGCUUGGGGAUGAUUAUUCCUCAAGUGCCGCCAAUAAGAUCCAUAUCCAUCUCCUUUUUUGAAGGCGUAGUUUGCCUACACAAAUUAAAAAAGAAAUAUAAAAUUAGCUUACGAAUAUUAAAACUAGAAUUUUUUUUUUUUUUUUUAUACUAAUGGACUUACCUUGCAAUAAUUGCAUUGAGCUCGACAAGUUCCGUCCGCCUUCUCAAUUUUUUUAUAAUGCAACCUCCAAAUGUCGGAUUUAGAAACAUCAUAACCGGUCCCUUCGAUGGUUGAUGAUUGAGAUGGCCGCUUAGUACUAGCCCUAGGAACCGAACCCCCGGAUGGUUGUGGCGAUGGCAUUUCCUCCGGCUCAUCAUCGUCGAGUAUGUUGGUGUAGUCGCCCAACUGGGGAAUUGUCGGUAUGUGGUCGGUGUAGGUAUUGGGAAUUAUUGAUGGAAUAUCAUGUUCCCAAGAACCAUCAUAACCGUAGUCCAUUUCGGGAGGAACUACGGAUUUUCCCUUUCCUUUUCCGCUACGACGUGAACUUGAAGACAUUUUUUCACUAAAAAUAAAAACAAUUUUUUGUUUUUUUUUUCCAACAAUUGAAGAGAAAUUCGGAAAUGCAAUACAAUUUUUUUUGAUUUUUUUUUUACUAACAAUUGAUGAGAAAUUCGAAAAUGCAAAAGAACCUUUUUUUUUUGACUAAGAACCGAAGAGAAAUUCGAGAAUGCAAAAACUAAAGAGAGAAUUGAACUUUACUAAACUUUGAUAUUGAACAAGUAGAGAGAAUUGUGAGUGAAUUGGUGAGAAAUUGGGUUGGGGUGUGAGGGUAUUUAUAGGAAAAAUUGGGGGGAAAAAAAUUCAAAAAAAAAUAAAUAACGGCCGGUUCACCCGGGCCGGUUCACUAGCCGUUAUUUGCUUUUUUUUUUUUAAUUUUUUUGAAUUUUUUUUUAAAAAAAAAAAUCCGGGUGAACCGUCGGGCCGGCCCGGCGGUUCACGGUUCACCAUUUCUUAGAACCGGGCCCGUCCCAGGUAGGACGGCCCGGUUCACGCGGUCAACGGGCCGGUUUGGGCCGUCAACGGGCCGGUUCCGGGCCCAAAACCGGCCCAUGGCCAUGUCUAGAGGUGUUCACUCGAUCGGGAAACCGACCAAACAGAAAAUCCGGUUUGGUAUUUGAUUUUUUUUUUUUUGAAUUUUAGUAUUCUGUACAGUACACAGUAUUGAUGCCCGGUAUACCAUACCAUACCGAAGACCGAAAUAUAUAUAUAUAUAUAUAUUCUUUUUAUUUUAAAUCCUGUACGGUUAUAGAACAAAUUAUCAAAUACUUGUAGAUUGAUAUUUUUUUCAUUAUUUACAAUGAGCCUCUAUUGAUAAUUAUUUUUAUUUUUUUAUUUUUGGGUCGAUUAUUGAAAUCUUAAUGUCAAAUUGAAGAAUUAAUUAGUUUUAAAAAAAUAUUUUACCUUUCUUUUUAAAUUAUGAAAAUAUAUUUUCGGUUUCACAGGUACCGAAUCGAAAAAACCGAAUUAAUUCGGUAAAAAACCGUAUUUCUGGUAUGAUUCGUUACGGUUUUACGAAUGAACACGUACGAAAGAGGGGCUCAUCAAUUUUGAACGUACAAACUCCACAAAGUCAAGGAAAAAUACAAAAAGCCAUGAUUUAAUGCAUUGAUUAUAUCGAAAUUUAAUGUCAAAAAAAGGAAAAAAGAAGAAGAAGAAAAAAAAAAAUUCUAGAUUCAUGCACCCAUUAUAUUAAAUGCAAUGCUUGGUGUGCUUCAAACAAUAAUCAAUUUUCUUAUUUUUCUUUUUAUUUUAUUUUGUGAAACUGUACAAACUAUAACAUUUUCAUUUUAAUAUUUUGUUACAUACGAGAACUUUUUUUUAGACAUCUGAAGAUUUUAUAGUCACCCCAAGCUUAUUGUCAACAAAAUAUAACAUGGAGAUUCUCCCACGUGAGUUGCACGUGUAAGGUUGUUGAAGUUUAUUACAUAGUUACAAUAAUCUCAAUGUACUGUUUUAGGAAUUUGCUAGAAGUCCCCUAAUGUAAUUUAAUUUGCGUUUAUUUAAUUUUUUGUUUCUUCUCUCUUUGUUCAAUUUACAAAAAUACCUCCAUUUUAUUUAGUAGUAAGAAAGAUAAUAAUUACUACUUCAAAACAUUGCCGCGAUUACAUGGAUGAAUACAUAUAGAGCAGUGGCGAAUCCAAGAUUUUAUUCAAAGGUGUUUGAAAUGAAUGUAAUACUAAUACGGAUAUAAAUGAUGCCUAAUAAAUAUGAUAGACUAAAAAUUAUGGGAAUUCAAGGGAGCGCCCCUUAUUUUUUUUAAUAAUAACGUACAUUUAAAAUAAUAAAAAUAGUAAAAGAAAAUCUAUAUGAACAAACAAUCGUUUGCAAUUUUUUGGAGAAUGUUAGAAACAUUUAGAAAGAUUUUGAGAGGGAAUUGGUGAAAAUAUAAAUGAGUAAUUUUGUAUAAUGUGCAAAAAAUUAAGAUUUUGUACCUCACAAGUACAAGCGAAUUCGAUUCCAAAAAUUUAUCACAUGUAAGUCUAUAUAAUAGAUAAUUAUUCAAGGAAUAUUUAAAAUUGACAGACAAUUUCAUAAGUCGCUAUCAAUUUUCACAAGUUCACUGUCAUACUAUGAAAAAGACACUUAAUUAUCGUACAUUAAGCUGUCAAUUUUCAUUCAAUUUUCAAAAGUUAACUAUCAUUUUUUAGAUGUUCAUAUCAUAUUACUUACAAUAUUCAAUUUUCCAUAAUUUUGCAAUCAAUUUGCAACUAAUAUUCAGCUUUUUUUCCGCUGUUUUAGGUUAUAUAUGCUACCAUUUUAAUUUGUUCGAAUUUUCCACAUUUAUUAAACUCCGACAAACACAUAAUGAAACAUAAAUAAAAAAACAAAAAUAUAACUAACAACAAUAAAUUAACAUGUCUCUCCUCUCAUUAUAACUAAAUAACAAAGUAAUUUCAUCCACAACUCUAAAGAGUCCACAUGCAAAUGUUUCAUUAUGUAACAACAAAGAGUUAUUCAAAUGACCUCCAACCAACUAUUAUCAAAGAACAUUAAAACACUUCAAAAGGUUGUCUUGCCAACUUCAUUCACCUACCUCAACAAACUAGAUAUGUAAAACUCCAAAAAUAAUUUUAACUUCCAAAUUGAAAUGGAAUUAAUUAAUCUUUUUUAGUAGUAACAUUAAUUUGAGUACAUAAAAAAAAAAGAGUAUUAUCAAGUUUUAUGUAUUAGGGUAAAUUACAACCGGUAAGGUCUGUUUACGAAAAACUUCCCUCAUAUUUUCACAAUACAUCCAACCAGUGCAAUUUGUAGAUUUCUUACAUUAACGUCCUUUUGUAUGGGUGGACGUAAAAAAAUUACAAACUGCAGGGGACUAGAUGUAAUUUUUAGAAAAUAAGGAUUUUUUGUAAUUACUUACUACCUCAUGGGUGGUUGUAAUUAAUUACCACUAUUAUAUAGUUCAUAAAGUUGGAUAAAUACAAGGUUCAAGUCCCUUUGCUAACGAUCGUUAGGUCGAGCUUGUCACACAUGGUUAGCCUAAUGUGGUUUACGUCUCUCGUAUGGUUUGCAAGCUAUUACACGAGAGUGUAGGUUUACCCAGCGCACCUAUAUGAUUGACUGUGGGUUCCUUCAUUACAAAAAUAAAAAUAUAAAAAAUAAAGUUGGAUAAAAUAAUACAUACGGUAAAUUUGGAACCGUGAAUGCCUAAAAUUAUUGGGAGCUAAAAUAUCAAUUCUAGAUAGACAAAGGCGGAAUUAGGACUUUUCGGUUGGGGGUCGAGAAUAUGAGACGCUUAAUUAAUAUGUAUUGGGAAGUUUGCGUAAAUUGUUAGGGAUAUUUAUGAAGAAAAAUAAAAUUACAAAAAUAAGUAAAUAUUUAAGAUACUAAUAAAAUAAAUUAUAGUACAGUAUCUAUGCAAUGUGAUCAUUAGAAUACCUUAGAGUAGAUAUUAGUAAUGUACGAGGAUUAGUUGAAUGAGUAGAAUAAAAAUACUAACAAUCUCAUAAUAGAUAGAAAUUCGAUAGAUUGAAUUUAAAACAUUGCAAAGAACGUAAUCUGACAAAUGACAAAUAGUUUAUUGUUUUAUGUUAAAUUAUAUUUUUCUUGAGUUUUAGUAAAGAUUAUAAAUUGAGAUUGUGAGCAAUAAUUAUGAUAGUUAAAUUUUAAAUAAUUUUGGUAUGAGACAUAAUGUUUUCUAUUAUUGCCUUCUUUAGUAGAUACGCGUGGAGCUCAACUGCCUUCCAGAAUGCAAUUACCAUUCCUACCCGGUUACCCUAACCCGAAACCCGAACCCAAACCCGACCCGAACCCGUUCGUAUUCCCGAUCCCCCAACUUUUAUCGAAGAAAAAGGAAAGAGUAAAACGAAAGAAGCACUUAAUUAAAGUGAAGAAACGGUGGGGGUAAAAAAAAAAAAAAAAAAAAAAAAGCUGCCAAAAACCACCACCCGCCAUACCCAAACCCUCCCCCACCGCUUUUCCAGCUUCUUCCUCCAUUAUCCAUUUCCCCCAACAAAUCCACAUUCCCCCUUUUUCUUCUUCAAUAAUUUUUUUUUUUUUUUUCUGAGAAACAAAAUUGAAAAUUAAAUAAUCAAACGGAUUCGAUCUAAUUGAAAUUUACAGGAAAAAUUCCCGGUGAAUUGCACCAAUUUCCGGUGGUGUUCGAUUGAAAUCUCUGAACCUAUGUGGCUCAGAAGAUCCAAAACAAGAGCUCGUGUCCACAACGCGCCGGCCCCCAAAUUCGCCUGCUCCUCCUUCAAGGAUGUCCACACUCUCCUCCUCGACGAUGAACCCGCCGGCGGCGGCAGCCCUGGGAGUAGUCUCGAAUCGCCAACGAAGCCUUCAAUCUGCCACCGCAGCCGUAGCGUUAAAACCCUCAUCCGCACCCUAUCCCAGCCCGCACCGCCGGAGGAAAUCCGGAUCCCGGGGGCGGAGCAGACGGUGGUGGUGUACUUCACGAGCUUGCGGAUCGUCCGGCGCACCUUCGAGGAUUGCAAGGCCGUCCGAUCCAUCCUGCGGGACUUCCGCGUGUCGAUCGACGAGCGGGAUCUAUCGAUGGACUCCGGAUUCAUGGACGAGCUCCGGUCGAUCCUCGGCCAGUCGCCGGAGAAGAACUCCAAAUUGACGCUGCCCAGGGUAUUCAUCGGCGGGAGGUACGUCGGCGGGGUGGAGGAGGUGCGGCGCCUCCACGAGAGCGGGGAGCUGAAGAAGCACGUGGAGGGGCUACCCGCAUCGGAGCCAGGCACGUGCGGCGCGUGCGGAGGGUACAGAUUUAUCCUCUGCGACGAGUGCAGCGGGAGCCACAAGUACUACAGCGAGAAAGGUGGCUUCAGGAGUUGUACCUUGUGCAAUGAGAAUGGUCUCGUCAGGUGCCCUUCUUGUUCCUGUGCACCCCUAUGAUAUGAAGCACCCCCUUUUUCCCUUUUUUCUUCUUAGAUUAUUACAUGUUAACCUCUUAAUUACUACUAGUAUUAAUUAAUUAAUUAGUUAAUUAAUUAUGAUUAUUAGGGUUUGUUUACAAAUCAAUUAGCUCUUUCCAUGCAGCUUUUAAUGUGAGAUAAGGGCUUUGCUUUAUUCUCUCUUUUAUCUUCUGUCUUGAUUUUUCUACUUAGUUCUUUCCUGCAAAAUUUUGUGGCAAAAAAACAUUAAUUAAAAGAAAUUUAUCAAGAAAACAGAGUUUAAUCAUCAUAAUCAUGUAUGUUGUGUUUUCGAGUUUUUGGAAUCUCGAGAAAUUGUUAGUGACUUGUUUGUUUCGAAAGACAAAUAUUUUGGAUUUGUGAGCUCGAUUCGAUAGCUGGCUGUAUGGAUUUGUUGUUAUUAUGAACUAAACAUGUAAUUGUUUGCUUUUCGUUUCUUUAGUUGCGACCAAUACUUGCUCGAUGAGUCCGUAUUGUUCUGUUAUUUUCGCUCUUUACGCUGCCGUUUUUUUUUUCGUUUAGUAAGUUUUCUUGGAAGAUGGUAUAGUAAUGCUAGAUAUAGAAAGAUGUGUUUUUACUACACAUUUUGAUUUGAAGAUUGCUUCUUACCCCGUCUCGACUCUGUUUCAACUUUGAGAUUUUAUUUAUUUGUUCCUCUCUUUUUUGUUCGUUUUUUGAUGAGUUGAACGCACAAAAAAACUCCUGCGUGUUGGAUUUUGAUUACAUAUGCAUGUACUUGUUGAAGCUAUGAAUUUGAGAACCGAUGUACUAUUCCAAGAUUUUUUUUGCAAUGAAUACUCUAGGCGAGUGAUUUUACCAGUAUAAAUGGGUUUCGUUUGUGAUUUAAGUUCGAAUCCAUGUGCUGGAGUUGAAUGAAAAUUCUCCAUGACCUUGCGGUUAGAAGAUGGUUAUUCUAUUCCAACAGUUGGCUGUUUUAUUUAACAUACUUGAGUCAGCACAGUUUAAACCUGGAAUUUCGACUUUCAAAUGUGUGCUCAAGCCUCAAUUGAAUCCUAAUUUAAAUUUUUACGCCAUACGCCUUUGGAAAAUCUACUUCUGGAACAUCCAGCCACGGUGGGGCCUCAGCCCUGAUUGCAGGCAUAGCUGGUGGUGCUUGGCGGUAGCGGUUGGGAGGAGGAGCAACAUGGCAUUCUCAAUCGGGAAAUAGAGGCUCGAAUCUUGGAGGCAUGGUCGUGUAGUUUGGUUGGGACUAUCUUCGAGCUCUGUGGAAUCAACUUAUGCCCGUGUGGAGCAACGGACAAAUGAACAUGUCAGCCCUAAUCUGAUCGAAAUUACGAAAAUAAAUCGGAUGCUUGGAUAAACGCUGAAAAUUUAAUUUUUUGACAAAAUGUUUGACACACAAACGACACCGUUCAAUGCACCUCAAAAUGUUUUUUGUGUGCACCGGAUACCCUUGUAAAUGACUAGGGCACUGAAAUAACUUAUAGAUACAUAAUUGGUUAUUUGUAAAAUAUAUAAUAAAUUAGGGUAAAUUCUACUUUCCCUUGCACCAAAAAGGCGAAAUCUCUCGUUCCCAGGGCCCAAUCCCUUGGUCCGACAAGGGUUGAUGGAUGAAUGUAAAUAAUGGUAACUAGCGGACCCGGCCCGUUAAGAUGGAGCUUCAACAUAUAAUUGACCUGCACCAGAAAUUCUAUGAUGUUUGAGAAGAAAUGACUUUAAAAUUCGAAUUCCAAAGCUCCCAAAGUGGGUUCCGAAAAUCAGAGUAACAACAAGUUUGAUUUUCAAAAAUUCCUUUGAAGCUACUGUAGAACUAAAAUCAGUUUCAACAAGGGUUCUAAGAAUUGAGAAAAAAUAAGUAUUCUAACAGUAUACAGCCUAUUCUAUAAUCUUUAUGAAGAAACGAAAUUGAAAUUCGAAUUCAAAAUACCUCAAAUCGAAUUAUGAAAUUAAAGUAGGCUGAAUAAUUUAAACCUUAGCUUCUUCUUACUUCUUAUUUCUUCCUAUGGUUUUUGAUACUCAAACCUACGUUAUUUCCUUGAUUGCUAAGUUUCUAAUUUUAUUAUUUCUACUUGUACCGCAGAUUUAUCUAUUAAUAACACUUCAACCACUUAAUUCUCACUAUAUUACUAUAUUACUCUCAUUAAUGAAUAAACUUCAAUAAUAUACAUGUAUUAUUAUACCACAUAAUAAAAAUUAAGGGGUGCUACAUUUAGGAUAUAUAUUAACAAAUAUUUGGCUGAUUUGUUAGGAUAUGACAAAAAAAAAAAAAAAUUGAAUUAUUAGAUAAUAUAAAAAAGGGGUUAUUUUACAUAACCCCCUAGCCACUAAAUAAACGAGGGAUAAACCCAAGCACAAAUCAUCCUUUGACAUACCCCCCUGGGGAAGCGAAAAUACUAAACUACCCUUAUGUGCAAUUUUCGGCCAAACUGCCCGGAGUCGCAUUGCUGACCAAAAGUUAANNNNNNNNNNNNNNNNNNNNNNNNNNNNNNNNNNNNNNNNNNNNNNNNNNNNNNNNNNNNNNNNNNNNNNNNNNNNNNNNNNNNNNNNNNNNNNNNNNNNUAUCAAUAUGUAAACAGUACUGAUAAUAACGACUUGUAACUAUAGUACCUAUAGUAAUUCAUAGUUAUGUUGGUUUUUCCCCAUAUUUUAGUCGAUCAAUUGUACGUAUACACACACGAAUACUGACUUAUGCAAAAUAAAUUCAUAAAAUCCCCACAAAAAUUUACAAAUUUCGAGGUGGGGGGGAGAAAUCACAUCAGAACCAAUAAAUACAAGAGCGAAAAUACAUAAAUAUACGCAUAUGUAACUACAUGUAACUACAUGUUACUAUAGUAAUGUAUAGUAAUGUAGACAGUCUGUUGAACAGAUCUGUUGUAACUUAAAAAAACAAAAAUUUGACACCUUCAAGGAAAAGAUCAAUGGCCUUCAUUAAGAUGCAAUUGCAAAAUCAAAACAAAAAGAAAUUACUUUAGUGCAAAUCAACAAAUUUGAAUAAAAACAUCAAAACACUCAAAAAUCACCAAACAUUAAGAGAUCGAGAGAUAGAGAGAGAGGUUAUUGCAGGGAAAUGCAAAAAAUAUAGAAAUAAAUCUGAAAAGAUAAAAAUUAACGAAAUUACCAUCAAAAUAUAGAUCCCGACGAGAGGAAUCCAACAGGGGAUGACCCGUCAAAUUUCGACGGGUGGAACACAAAAUAAAGCUCCGGCAAGACCACCGUCCUCGAAUGAAAAAAUCACCACCAAAAGAAAGAGCUCGACGAGAGGAAUCCAACGGUAGUUAAACCAUCGAAUUCCGACCACCGGAGAGAGAGUUAUGGCUCCGGGAAGCAAUUUCGCCGGUGAGAGGUUUGUAGAGGCGGGAUUUUGAAUCUGAGAGAAGAAGAGAGAGACCGUGAGUGGCUAGGGUUAAAACUGAUUUUAGAAGGGUAUUAUAGGAACUUCAGGGUAGCCCAGGGGGGUAUGUCAAAAUAUUUUCGAAAUGAGGGGGGUUUUACCUAGAGUGUAAUCCACUUGGUAGUUAGUGCUAUAUAAUUUGGAAAUGAGGGGGUCUACAAAAUAAUCUCUAUAAAAAAACAAUAUUACUAUCUUAGCCCUAAAAUGAGGGGGAAAGUUAAGCUAGGAUUUAUCAAGAGUAGCCUUACUUUUAUUAAUAAGAUAUCUCAAAAGCAACUUUACUUCCACCCACCUUACACACACAAAACAACCCACCUCCUCAUUUUUCUUCUGUUUCUUUUUUAUCCCUCCAAAAUUUGAUUCUCUAUUUCGUCCAACUGAAGGAGAUCAUAAAAUAGUGCCUUAGUUAAUGGCAGUGAUGGAAUCUGAUUUGCAGGUUCAACCAUCAAAUUGACGAUUGGUCCAUUUCUUCUUUUAUGCACUCUCUUGCCCUUGCUUUCUGUUUCUUUUUUCUCCCUCCAAAUUUUGAUUCCCCACUUCGUCCAACUGAAGGAGAUCCUAAAAUAGUGCCUUAGUUAAUGGCAGUGAUGGAAUCUGAUUUGUCUGUGUUCAGCCAUCAAAUUAACGAUUGGUCCAUUUGGGGCCUUGUUUAGGGCCCAUGUCACGGACUUGUUCCCUUAACAAUGAACCGUGCGGAAGGAAGAACUUAAGAAGAUAGUAUUGCUUGAAUGUCUUGAAUUUGUUGGAUUUUUGUUGGAUGAUUACAAAUGAAGUCUCUACACUAUUUAUACUAGGUCACCUCCUUAAUGGACGAUGGAGAUCUAUUUGAUUUAACGGUUAGGAGUUGUUCACUAGAACACUCCAAAAUAUCAACAAAAUGGAGGGUUUUAGAAAGUUUUCUAGAACUGAAAUGCUAAAUCCCACACUAAUUUUACCAAAUCAUGCACAUAACUAAAAUUAUUUUUCUCUCUAAAAUCUUCUCUUCUCCUUCCUCACCCUUCUUCUUUUUCCCUAAAUUUUUUUCACAAAACCACACAGUAAAAACGUCCCUAACAUUCCAAGUUCGAAUUUAACAAAAAUCUUCACAUGUUCAAACUAAAAUAAAGUUGGAAUUUGAGGAAAAAAUUCGAAUUGAUAUGAUUUUGAAUAAUUAAAAAGAAUUAAUGAAAUUGAAUAAAUAUUAAAUAAAACGAAACUCAUUUUUAUGAUUAUUCACGUAAAAAAAUAAUGUUACUUGGAUAAAAUCAUUUUAGAGAGAAUACGAGUAAAAAGAGAUUUUUUUUUUUUAAUUUAUGUGUGGGAUUUAGCACGCCCCUUUCUAGAAUCCUCCAAGAAUUUCUACCAAUGCCUAUAUACACUUGCGCCAACUUGGGGCCUAUUAUAUUUGGGCUAAGCUUUGGUGUUCUUCUCAACCCAAAGAAAACUCGCAAAGGAUUGGGCCAAAACUAGCGGAUCGCGACACCCACUGGAGUUGCCCUAAGAUUAAUAAUAUUAUUAUUAUCAACUACUCUAUCGGUUCCAUAAUAUAUGUCACUUUUGAGAAAUUUUUUCUUCCAUAUUAAUCAGUCACUUUAAAUUUCCAACACUUCAUUAAUUACUUAAUUUUCAAUUUGCUCUUUUCGACACUCCUUUUUUUUUAUAAAUUAUUUAUCUCUCUUAUUAUUUAUAAGACAAGGUCAUUUUAAUCUAAAAGCAUACAUUUUUAUAAAUCAAGACACAUUUAUUGAAAUUCUUAAUUUUUGUACAAAGCUAAAAAACGACGAUUAAAACAGACCGGUGGGAGUAUCGAUUUGCAAUUGAUUAUUAAAUCCUCUAAAUAGUAAUUGGAGAAGAACAUAUUUGAAAAUUCGCUAGUCUCACACGUUUCUAACUUUUUUAAAACUGCAAAAUAUCCCAUAAGGUGUCCGGUAGGUGUCUCGAGUGUCGGACACAAAAUAAAUUCAAAACGCAGAUACAUUAAAAAAAGUUGAAGUUUCCGUACUUCAUAGAAUAUAACUGAUCCAAUUUAUUUUUAUUUUUUAAUAAAAUUAAUGUGGUGAUGGCAUUAAUCAUAAGUAAACAAGCACAAGAGUACUAAUUAAUUAACCAACUUCUUCUAUUUUCCAAAGUUCCUUACAAGUCUGAAAUUUCUUCAGAAUCUCAUAAUUAAAUAAAUAAAUUAAAACAAGAUUUUUUAUAAAAAAAAUAAAAAUAAAAGUAAAAUAAAAAAUUGAACAGGUCGAGUUAACUCAGACUCAGACCUUGUCAUCAUUCGGGCGGCGGAGAUCAAUUUCCUCUCUCCUACGUGUCAAAAUCCCAACCGCAAAUACAAAACCUCUGACCACCCUGACUAACCCAAUAGCCACCGUCAGAUAAUACAGCCACCACCCCAUGAAGUCCGCCACCCCAACCUCCGCCAUCAGCGCCGGCACCACAACCAGCGCCUCCACCUCCUCCCUCAGCCGCCACCACCACAGCCCGCCGUAGCUCAGCCCCACCGCCGCCUUCUCAACCCAACCUUCCUUCCUCCAGCAGCCGAACAUGGUGUCGUCCACCACCGGCUUCACCACCGUCCACCUCCAGAAAAGAAUCGUUUCGUGGAGGCCGAAGAAGAAAGCAAUUCUCAACAGAAAGCUGCUCUCCUGCCCGAACCCGGAGCCGUCUAUUCCGGCGGCGAUGCUCCCUUCGAUGCCUAAUCCGACGCAGACUUGAAAAACGAAAAGCAGAAGCCAUGCACCGUAUAAACGGCGUCGUUCUGAGGGCGGCUGAUCGGCGCCGGAGAUGGAAUGGUGGCUCGGCCGGAAUAUGAAUUUUCCGGUUAGGGCGUACGUUAGAGACGAUACGGUGAUGAGAGAGACUAGGAAGUGGAGGACUGUGGGUUUUUUGGAGUAUAGAAAGAGCGAGCGCAAGAAGGAGGUGGAGGUGGGCUCCGCCGCCGCCGCCGCCGCCGCGUCCGCCUCCGCCUCCUGGGGGUAGUUGUCGGUGGCGGAGAGGAAGUAUUGGGCGGUGGAGAGGCGGGCGAGGAGGAGGAAUGAGAGGGGGAGGAGGAGACUGAGGAGGGUGGUUGUCAGAAUUUGGAACGGAACUCUGACGGUGGCGGCGGCGGCGUCGCCGCAGCGGCGCCACCUGAUGGUUUUCUUCGCAUNNNNNNNNNNNNNNNNNNNNNNNNNNNNNNNNNNNNNNNNNNNNNNNNNNNNNNNNNNNNNNNNNNNNNNNNNNNNNNNNNNNNNNNNNNNNNNNNNNNNAUAUAUAUAUAUAUAUAUAUCUGUAUAUAUAUAUAUAUAUAUAUAUAUAUAUAUAUAUAUAUAUAUAUAUAUAUAUAUAUAUAUAUAUAUAUAUAUAUAUAUAUAAAAGAAUGAAAAUAGAAGUGGUAGCCACGACUUGGUUUGGUUUGUUGGUUGACAGUUGACAUAGGAGAAUGUCGUAGAGGAAUAAGCUUCCACUUGUGCUACAUUAUUAUGGCUUAUGGUGCACGUAAAAGCUUUUAUAAACAGAUUAUAAGUUUUUAGCUGGUUGCAAAAUAAAUUUUUGCUUUACUUCUCUAAAAAUAAGUAUUUUUAAGCUAUAAUUUGUACUGAGGCGGAGUUUGAAAAAACUUAUUUAAAAGUAGAUGUUAUGGAUUGUGAGUUAAGUUAUUUUUAAAUGUUUAUUUUUAAAAGUUUGGAGUGUUUACAAAUUUACUAAAAAAACAACUCAAAUAGAAAAAACAGGGUCACGAGUACUUAACAAAUUAUAGUUUAAAGAUGAUUAUUUUAAGAGAAGCAAAAUUUGUUUUUGUAAACACCUAAAAACAGAUUAUGUGAGAAAAAAGGCUCAUAAUCUAUUUCUAAAAGCUUUUGCAAACACCACCGAAGACAUCGAUGAACCAUGUUUUUCUAUUUAAGUUGGUUUUUCAGCAGAUUGGCAAUAACUCUCGAUUUACAGAAAUAAGUACUUAUAAUCAACUUAACUCAUAAUAUAUAACUUUUGCUUUUAAAUAAGAAUUUUGCAAACAUGCACCACCUAUGUUAUUAUUAUAAUAUAAAAGAAUAAUAUAGUUUCAAUAAUAAUUAUGGUUGGUAGGGGGAAGGCCAAUCAUGCAUGUAAGUUGUGAAAGUCUUCUCUCAACAAAAUAUAGAAUCAAUAAUAUAUGUAGGUUAAGUACGUGCUAUAUAUAUUGUUAAAAGCUAUGGUUGGUACGUACAUGUUGCACCCCUCUUGAAACAUCCUCAUAAUUAUAGACUUCAUUUUUCAAGUAUUUUUUUAGGACUUUAAACCAAACUAUUUUUUUUCAAUUUGGAUUAAGUUUUUUGGGUUUUAGCAAUCAAUGUUUAGUCAAUUUUCACUAGUUUAAACUUUGACAGCACAUAACUAAUAAGCAAUAACAAAACAAUAAAAUUUGAUAUUAUGUUACAAUUCAGUAGAGAACAAAAUGUAAUUACAUAUGAUUAUACAACAUUGAUACAAAGAUUAAAUUAUUUAACCUAAAAAACAUAAAAGAAUUAUUCAUACAUGAAUAUAUGCAUUUUGUUAACUAUAUAUAUGGUUAAGAAUUUUCAAAGAAUCAAAUAUAAAAUCGCAUGUUUAAUUUAAGGCUUAAAUUCGCCAAAAUUUGACACCGUUCAUCAGAAAAUUUAGCUAAUAAGUUUUUCGAGUUUCAUCCUUUCACUUUAAAAAAACCUUUGCAUCAGUUAAAGAGUAUGGAGUCAAGGGUAAUAUUCACUACAUGCUUAAGAGACUAGUAUUUGGGUGGGUGGGCUUAACAUUGACGGGGGUUCGGGGGCAGCGCCCCCGAUUUUUUUUUUAUUCAUUAACAUAAAAUAGCAUAAAAUAACCACAAAUUAUAAACUUCAACAAAUAUAACAUAAAUUUUUUUGAUGGAUAAGCUAAACUAAAUUACUUGGGUGGGCUAAAUUAAACUAUUUGGGGGGCUAAUUAUAUAUAGAUAUAAUANNNNNNNNNNNNNNNNNNNNNNNNNNNNNNNNNNNNNNNNNNNNNNNNNNNNNNNNNNNNNNNNNNNNNNNNNNNNNNNNNNNNNNNNNNNNNNNNNNNNAUCGAAAUAUUCAAACAAUACAUUAUAAAUCAGCAACCCAAUCCGUAGAGAAAAAAAAAAAAAAAACUAUACAUUUGCUAGGCUAAAUCAUUAACCAUUUGAUGAGAACUCCAAUUCUUCUAUAGUGAAUUGGGUUAAUUUUUCAUGAAAUGAUAUAAAUUGGGAUAAAAAUGGGCUAGCUUGAAAUUGUCUUCGUUCCGGUAGAAACCUUAAAUCUAAGUACGGAAUGUACGGAUUUAGGGGUGGCAAUUAGCUCAACUUGGACCAGAUUCGGUCCAGAUUGAUGUGGACCGAAUCAAAAUGAACUGGAUCCACCUUCGACCAGAGUGGAUAUAUCGAAGUUUGACAGCAGUCCGGAUUGCAUACGUAGCAGUUUUUACUCAACUUAGAGUCCUAGGGUGAAAACUGAACAUGUGCGCCUUAGAUUAGAUAACGAUAUUUAGUUCAUAUGUUGUAAACCGGACUAAAAAUAAUGAAACGUACAAUUUUAUAUCCGAGGUUUAAUUUCACUACUAUAAAGUAUAAACAGUUCAUAAAAAUUGGGACAUUAUUCUUUGGGCCUUGUUAAUAUAUUCCUAGGGAAAAAGAGUACCCUAACCCAAAGAAUUACAAAAAUUAAAAAAACAAUGAGAUAAGUAAAAGAGAUUAAAUUCCGAGCGGAUCAGCCGAUAUUUAAUAUAAAUCGGAUUCCACUAAUUUUUUGAUAUGUGGCACUUUUAAGUCUUUAACUCUUAAUAAAUCAUGCUGAUUAUAAUUAGGGUUAGUUGGGUUAUGGGUUCUGCUUGAUUUUUUUUUUUUUCAAUUAUUAGAAUCCUAAUUAUAUUUUUAUUUAAACUAUCAACGUGUCAAUCAUCCUAUGACAUUCAAUUUUCCUAUUAAAACAGACCAUCCGCUCUAAAUUUGCACCCUAAGUAAACUCAUCGUAUCAUUUUGUAAUGUCUAUGAAGUUAAUAAAUGACAAACCCAAUGUAAUUAAAUAAUUUCAUCAUCCAAUCUCCAGAUCAUUGGAACAUGCCCGAUUCUGACUAUAGGUUAAAGAGGCGAUAGCCUCGGGCCCUAAUUUUUAGGAAAAAUUAGGGGUCUCCAAAUAAUAUUUUAUACCUUUUAUAUAUACUUAGUUAUAGUAUUAAAUGAUAUGUAAAACACAUAAAUAGUUCAACAAUUUGAAUAACCAUACUAUAUUGUUUCACAUAGUUUAAGUAUUUGUUGAAAUUUUUCACUUAUUAUUGCAUUUGAUGUGAAUGAAAUGUGUUAGAUCAAUUAUAAUCAAUUAGAUAUUGAGUUCUUCUAUCAAAUUUUUAUCUAUUUCAAGAAUUUAAACUUUUUUUCAGCAAUCUUUGCAUUUUUUUUAAUAUUCUACAUUGUCUACCUCUAAUUUCAAAGAGUUUCGACAAGCUUAAGAUAUACUAUAUUUAAAAUAAAAAUUACAUAUAUUUACUUGUUCAGUGAUAUUUCUAUGAAUAUAUUUUCAAAACAACUUUGGAGCUCUGCCUUGAACCCCGUAAACUUUCGGUUUACCUUAACUUUAUCAAUAUUUUAGUCAUAUUUUCUCUAAAAAUCUUAACUGCCAAUAAAAAAAUUCUUGUCCAAUUGUGCUCCUUAAUGAAUUAACAUGUAUAUUAUACAAUACAAAACCGAGGUCCAUUUUUACAAAUUCUUAAAACUCACCUAUCGCCCUCAAUUUCUCGUGAACAACCCUGCAUUGGAAUUAACAUAAAUUCUUGAUAUUUAAUGAAUUACCAGUAACAAUAGUCAAGGGGAUCACCGAAAAAAAUUCCGAGAAGUCUCGCUAAGUGACGAGCCCAAAUAUUUUGCCCAAAAACCCUUAUAUUUCUCUGCGAUAACUUUCUGGGCUAAAAAUCGGAAGAAAAUAUAGGCGAAUUUGAAUUAAUUGCACACAUUAAAAAGAAGAAGAAAAACUCGAAGUUCUUUAGGUUGAGAACAACACUUUGAAAACCGAAAUUACAAAAGCAUUUGUAGGUUUGUGAAUUCGUAGUGACGGUUGGUUUGUUUGUUUAAUAGGAAAACUGUACGGAUGUCCAACUUUGUCAAUUCAAAGGACAAACUGCAAAUAAUAAUAAAAUAAAAGUUAAUGAGAACACACAUGAUGGCAUGUGCUACACUACCUUUGUAACAUUAUUAUUCUCAUCACCACCUUCUUUAAUUUGUUGUGAGCUUUUGUUGAUUUUCCUUGUCUAAAGAUGCUUACCUAAGGAAUCUUAGGCAAAUUUCCAACUAUACUUAUCCAAUUCUUAAUUAAUUAUUACAUACAUGUACAUGUAUUCAAUCCCACCAUCAAAUCAUGUGUCCUUUUAAUCAUCUCCCGAGUUAAUAGAUCUUGUUAGUUACAUUUAUUCAUUGAGUCGAACUCUGGUCAUUUACUCUCCAGCUGUAUCGCUUCUAACAAAUUACAGCAUCUCUCCUGAAGUAAGGUCAAAUUAUUAAAAAAAAAAACUCCUUUUGUGUAGGUAAUUACAACCAACCUCUCAAUUAUAAAUCUUUUUACAUGUUUGUUAUUAUAGUGUUAAAGUUAGUUGAAUCUUCUAGAUUAUAUAGAAUAUUCUCCAGUUUGUACCAUUUUGUCUCAUUCCAGCUCCACGUUUUUGAAAUAAGACUAUCAUAAGAUGUGUCGCUAGGCUUGUAAAUAUCAGAUUGUGGAGCAUCUGAAAUAACUUAUUUGCCAAAACGAGUACAAACUAGAAAACAUUUCACGGAAUCUAGAAGAUUAUGUUGAAUUUGACACCAAAAUAUAAUUUACAAACUUUUUUGUUUUCUUUCAAUAAAUAGGUUAAAUUCCAAGAAUGGUUUAUGAAAUUUAUUCAAUAAAAAGAUUUGUUGUGCACUAAAAAUAUUAACAACUCAAAACUUGAAAAGUUGAUCCAAAUUGUCACAUAAAGCCUAAAUGGGUGAGAGGUUAAUUAAAUUGGCCGACAAAAAUAAGUAAUUUAAAGGAAGCACAACAACAAGAGGGGCCAAAAGGGACCCUCCUCCGGUCCCAUCAACUAGCCACAACAAAGACAAAGUAAGGUGCGUUUGGUUGAAAGAUUUGAAAUGAAUGGAUUUAAUUAAAUUAGUUAAAAUAAAAAAUACAGUCUACGAUACGAGUUAGCGAGAUAGAGUAAGAGAGAGAAAAUAAAAGAAAGAGAAAUGUAUCUGAUAAGUUGGAUAAUAUAGAGAUUAUAUCUAGGGUGUAAUAAGAGCAAAUUAUGGAUACCAAAAAUUAGGGACGUGAGCCGCAUUUUGUUUCAAAAUAGGAAUUUAAUUAAAAAAUGUAUUUUAAGGUUGUCAUUUAGUUAGAAUUAUGUUUGAUUUGAGGGGCUCUUAGCAUAUAUUACCCCUAAAAAAUAAUUUGGAAUGACUCUAAACAGGUUUGAAAUUAAUCCACCCCAGUUGCUGGAAAAAAUAAUUAGAAAUUGAGAGCUACAAAUACAAUAUUGUUUACAAACUACACAAUUCAAACAUGCUCUUAUUUGUUAUUAUUACCAGUGUUUUAAAACUCGGAAUGGGACCGGCCGGUUGAACAGCUUAAGCCGCGAACCAUUUCCUUGUCCGGUCUGGUUUGACCGGUCGAACCGUAAAUCAGAAUCCGGGUGAAAAUCGGGUUUUUUUGCUCAAAAUAGUGCUUUAAAAAAAACAAUAAAAUUGCCAAAACGAUGUAUUUUUACUUCCCAGUUCAGAAAAAACUAAAUCAAAAUAGAAUAUUUUUUAAAUUGGAAUGCAUGUUAUUUUUUAUUAUAACUCUAUAUUAUUUGAAACGAUUCGGUGUAAUAUGUUUCGUGUGUAAAUGAAAAAUAAGUUUGAUUUACGCUUUUAAUUGGAAAUGAGUAAUGGUUAAUGUGUGAAAGAAAAUAUGAUUUAUUUACUAUAAAAAUUAUGUAUAAAUAAUUAUAAAAUAAAAAAUUAAAAAAUGGUUUGACCCCGGUGAAACCGGUCCAACCAUAAUCCAGUAGCUUGUCCUUAUCAAUGUCCGGUUAUGUUUUCAAAACAUUGAUUAUUACUACAAAACAUUACAUCUCUUUUUGUUAACAAAUAUCUUCCCACGGUUAAACUUUUUGAGUAAACUACCCCACCAUUAAGAGGUUUUUGUGCUAAAAAAUGCAUCACAGUUUUUUUUUUCAUUAAUAUUAACGAGCAUUUUUUUUCCGUGCGAUGCACGGGAUAACAUUUCAAACGUGAAAUACUUGUUGAUUUAAUAUAUGACAAUAACAAUUAUAACAAAAUUUAUUUGUGAUAUUGGUAACAACAUCAAUAUUUAUAUACAAAUUUAAUAAUACAAACUGAUUCCAAAAAAAAUUUUAUGUAAACUUAAUUCUCAUAAUAUAAAAUUCAUUAUUAAAUAAAUGAAACAUAGAAAAAUUAGCGAAAAUAGGCUAGAAAAUGAGAGAUAAAAAUAAUAAGAACAAUUAAAAAGAUAUAAGAGUAGUGAAUUAGGAUUGUGCUAGCCGAAAUUUGGUGUGAAAGUAAUUAGAAAAAAGUGACUGCGAAAUAGGAGAUAUAUAUAUAUAUAUAUAUAUAUAUAUAUAUAUAUAUAUAUAUAUAUAUAUAUAUAUAUAUAUAUAUAUAUAUAUCUUCUUACAAAUAUACUAUUAGAGUUUCUUAGAUAGACCUAGCAUUUCUUACUUUUAUAUACGAUAAUAUAUAUUUUUUUAGCAAUUAUAAUAUAUAUAAAAAAAAAAUAAAAAAAAAAAAAUAAAUAAAAGCUAGCCAACUAAUUCCCUAAUACAUCCAACAUUCAACCUUUUUGGCCUCUCUUUGUGCUGCCAUGUCUACUCAUAUUAUUCAAUAUUCACACACUCAAACAUAUUUGGACUCAUUUACUUUUCACCUAAACACACUCAUAACUCCAAGAAUCGUGCAUAAAGCGUCGACACUCGUGUAUCUGUUAUUUUUCGAGUAGUGUAGUAUUAUUGCCCCUAGAAAAAGUCCACACUCGUGUAUAUGUUAUUUUUCGAGUAGUGUAGUAUUAUUGCCCCGCUAAAAAAAAUACGGGAAAUAUACGACCCCCCCAAAGAUAACAUUCCGGCUCCGCCACUGCACACAAGUACACAUAGUGCUGUCUAGAAAUUUUCCAUUACAUUGUGUGUUAGAAAAGGACAAGAAGAAAAUGAUAAAACAAAGAAACAUGUUAAGUACUAUAUGGUACAAUGGUUUUCUAUCAUGUAUAUUUUUUUCAUUGCUAUUUUCAUUACAAAAACUCGUACCGCAAUUACUAAACUAAGUAGACAACAGUAAAAAAAAAUAAAAACAAUUACUUACUACUUAGCCGUGGAGUUGGUGUUAUUGUUAUUGAAUCGCGAAAGAGUUGAUAGAAUUUCCGAAAAAUGUGGCCGUUUUGAGGGGCAAUCGUUCCAGCAUUUUAUCAUAAGCGAUCGAAGAAUCUGCGGACAGGCAUCGGGAAUUUCUGGCCGGAGCCCACACGCAGCUAUUCCGACUGCAGCUUGCACCGGUGAAUAAGCGGAAUAAGCAAUCUCACCACACACCAUUUCCCAUAUUAUCAUUCCAUAACUAUACGCAUUACUCAUCCAGCUCUCUGUCACGUUUUCUGGAUCACCCGAAAUUAUCUUUUUCAAGAAAGCAAGAAAAGAAAAGUUAGAUACUCGAAUCUUGAUUAAUUUACAUUCGUCGCACAACCUAAGCAGUUAGGCUAAAAAUACCAUGCAGUAAUUCAUGUAGAUAUGCAUAUGCAUUUGUUUAUUACUAAUAAAUGAUCGAUUUAGAGUAACUUUUCGACCAUUCUUCUACGUUUAUUUACGUUUCCGAUUUUCAAUAAAAUGCUGCCGAAAUUAAGAAAUCCCGUCAUGUCAACUUGAGUCAUGACAGCAAAUUAAAUUUCACUUCUCAACAUAGCAAACAAAAAACAAUGUAGAUUUCACCAAACCUUCAAUUAUAGCAUGCAAAUUCAUCCGAUAAAAUCAUACUUUCAAUUAGCCAAACAAGUCGCUCUCAUAAUAUUCUCCAAGAAAUUCAAGAUUCCAUCCAGUAUAUACAUGCAACAUACAUCUAAGAAAAUAUACCAACAUAUAAUAUAUAUAGUUUACCUCCGGAGCAAGCCACCUAUAACCAUCGGUUUCGUAUUCCAUAGCCUCACUAACACUCUUGCAAGCAGCAAUUAUUCCCAUAUCGCCCAAACAAGCAUUUCCACGUUUAUCCAACAAAAUCCUCUGCGUGUUCAAAUCCCGAUAAGCAACUCCAUGAUCAUUCAUAAACUUAAUUCCCUCAGCAACAUCCGUCACAAUUCUCAAAACCUCCUUCGUUUGAAUCUUUUUAUUCUUCACUAUCAAUUGAUGAACGGAUCCUCCUUCCAUCAACUUACUCACAACACACAGCCCGUGAUUAUCGUCGAGAAAAACCCCGUGAAAGGGUAGAAUAUUCUUGUGCCCGAAAGUCAUCAACUCCAACAAAUCUUUCCUCAAUUCGAACUCGUAGGAGUUUCCUUUAUCGCAGCCCUUGAGCUUCUCGAUCCCGACUUUUUUACCCUUGUAAACACCCUUGAACGAACUCGGUCCGAUUUGGUCGGUAAUUUCGACUGCAUCGUAAUUCAGCAACCAUUUCCCAAUUCCGUCCCUACCUGAUAUCACGGUUUGCCACUCGUCUACAGAUAUUACGAUCGAGUCAUUUGGCAAAGCGGGUUUGCAGAUGGCGUUUUAAUCUGAAUUCUCUCCGUUUCUGUAAUUCGGGUCACCAUUACAAUCCUCUUCAACGUCUCCGAGAUCCCUCCCUUUAGUGCUCUCUUCUUGGCAUCCGCAGAGUCCGAAUGGGAGUUUCAUGGUGCUGCUUUUCGGUUUCUUUGAGGCGGAUUUGAGUGCAUUUUCGAUCCGAGUUUUGAAUGAUUUCUCGUGUCCGGUUUGGAUUAACAGUGUGACGAUUCCGAGAGUGAAGCCCUUCUUCUCGAAGAUCUGUAGAUUUUUGCAGCAGACCGAGGAAGUGUCGAGUGCGCCCGACACGGCGGGCGAUGAAAUGGCGGAGUUACAUGCAAAUGUGAGCUUGAAUACAGAGCCGUUUGUGUUGGUUUCUUCGUCGGAGAUCUCUUGGAUCAUUAUCGCCGGGUGGUUUUCCUCCGAUGCUUGUUCGAUCAAUUUGAUGUGCAGAAACACGUCUUUCAUUUCGAAGCCGGCGUGCGAGUAGCUGUGAAUUGGGGGGAAAAAAAAAAUUGAACGCAAUUGAAAACCCCAAUGCCGGAAAUUGAAUGUGAAAAAAGGGGGAAAAUCAAUUGAACCUGAUCGGUAAGGAAUCGUAAUGUUUGCGAAGAUUGGAGACCAAUUUCUCGGGGAGUUGGCUGCCGGGGUACAGCUGCGUCAAGCUCCGUACAACGCCGCCCCACACGUGUCUCCGGCAGCUGGAAGGGGAGGAGAGCGGCGGCUCGCGGGCGGAGUCGAGGUUCAGAGUGUUUUUCAGUGAGGCGAUGGCCUCCGACNNNNNNNNNNNNNNNNNNNNNNNNNNNNNNNNNNNNNNNNNNNNNNNNNNNNNNNNNNNNNNNNNNNNNNNNNNNNNNNNNNNNNNNNNNNNNNNNNNNNAUUGCCAUCAAAAUAUAAUCUCGACGAGAGGAAUCCAACGGUGGGUAGCCUAUCAAAUUCCGACUGGCGAAACAUAAAUUCCAGCUCUGGAAAGACCAUCGUCGAAAUACGCCGACUGAAAAAAGAUUGCAGUAAUAGAUCCAGCACUCCAAACUGAAUGAAAUCACCACCAAAAGAAAGAACUCAACUAGAGGAAACAAUAGUUGAACCAUCGAAUUCCGACCACUAGAGAGAGAGAGUUAUGACUCCGGUGAAGCAAUAUCGCCGGUUAGAGACCUUGGAGGGCGAGAUUUGGAUCUGGGAGUUGAGAGAGGAGGAUAUGGACCCAUAUGAGUUGACUAGGAUUUAAAACUAAUUUAACAGGGUAUUUAAGGUACUUCAGCGUGGGNNNNNNNNNNNNNNNNNNNNNNNNNNNNNNNNNNNNNNNNNNNNNNNNNNNNNNNNNNNNNNNNNNNNNNNNNNNNNNNNNNNNNNNNNNNNNNNNNNNNNNNNNNNNNNNNNNNNNNNNNNNNNNNNNNNNNNNNNNNNNNNNNNNNNNNNNNNNNNNNNNNNNNNNNNNNNNNNNNNNNNNNNNNNNNNNNNNNNNNNNNNNNNNNNNNNNNNNNNNNNNNNNNNNNNNNNNNNNNNNNNNNNNNNNNNNNNNNNNNNNNNNNNNNNNNNNNNNNNNNNNNNNNNNNNNNNNNNNNNNNNNNNNNNNNNNNNNNNNNNNNNNNNNNNNNNNNNNNNNNNNNNNNAAUUCAACAUAGUCAUCUAGAUUAUGUGAAAUGUGCUCUAGUUUGUACUCUUUUUGUGUAAAAAAUACAGUUUCCGAUGCAUCACAAACUGAUAUAUACAAGCUAAAAAUCACAUAUUAUGAUCAUCUUGCUUCAUAAUGUAGAGUUUGAAUGGGAUAAAACGGGUACAAAAGUGAUAAUAUUCCAUAUAAUCUCGAAGAUUCCACUAAAUUUGAUGAGUUGAGGGGGUGGUUGUAAUUAUCCAAACAAGAGGGGUGUUUUUUUAAUUUGACCAUACCUCAGGGGGUGUUUGUAAUUUACCCAUUAUAAUUUUGAUUUUCAUGUAUUUAAAUAAUUGCCAAUGAAUUAUGAGGUAUCCAAUUGUUAAAAUAUCGGCUUCAAAACCUUGAAAUCGUGUCUGAAAAUUUAGCAGCGGGUUUAUCUUCUUCGCCACCAAAACUUUGUUCAUUUAUUUAGGUCGCUUUCUCUUCACUCCAUCACAGAGAAUUUCUGCGACAACUUUAUCCAACAACAUAUGUUCAUCCCGUUUCUCUCUCUCUAACUUCCCGAUUCUCUCUCUCUAACUUCGUCUUCCCUUUUCCCCUAUGCUCUCCCCAAAUGAUAGUUUCUUCUCUGCCCUAAUAAAAUUCGAUAAGAGGAAUCAAAUAUCCGAGUUCUUCUGAGAGUAUCAGAGUAAUCACCACUCUAUUUUCCUUUUCCCCCAAAAACAAAAUUCUAGGUCACCGCGCAUAUCUUCAGAAAAAAAAAUUAAAAGAAAAUGGCUUCAAUCGGUGGAAUUGCCGCCGUCGGCAACUUGUGGUUGACCAAUUGUUCGUCUUCCAAGCAGUGUAUUUUUCUCGCAACCCUUAAACCCAGAAACCCAUCAUCAUCAUCUCACACAAGAAUUUUAAUUCGCGACAACCCAGAUUAUUACUAUUCCGUACUCGGGAGAAGAAUCAGUAGCAAAAUAAUUGGCCAUCGUAAUUUAGGAGCCCGUAAUUCAGUUCAAUUGGACGCGGCGUACAUCACAAGCGAGGACGAGGACGAAAUGGGGGAAGGGUUUUUCGAGGCGAUCGAGGAGCUGGAGCGUAUGGCCCGGGAGCCCUCGGACGUGCUCGAAGAAAUGAACGACAAGUUAUCGGCCCGCGAACUCCAGCUAGUGCUCGUUUACUUCGCGCAGGAAGGGAGGGAUUCGUGGUGCGCGUUGGAGGUGUUUGAGUGGCUGAAGAAGGAGAAUAGGGUCGAUAAGGAGACCAUGGAAUUGAUGGUGUCGAUAAUGUGCACGUGGGUGAAGAAGUUGAUCGAGGGGAAGAACGAAGUGGAGGAUGUCGUUGAUCUUUUGGUCGAUAUGGAUUGCGUCGGUUUGAAGACGAGCUUUAGUAUGGUGGAGAAGGUGAUUUCGUUGUACUGGGAGGCGGGGGAGAGAGACGGGACUGUGUUGUUCGUGAAGGAGGUUUUGAGGAGAGGGAUAUCGAUGCGGUUGGAUGGUGACGAGGGGAAAAAGGGUGGGCCCGCCGGUUACCUUGCUUGGAAAAUGAUGGUAUGUGUUGAGCCACUCUCGCUCGUUUUUUUUUGUCCGUUUGUUAAAUGCGUGAGUGUUUAGUGCUAAUUGUUUGUGUUUUUGUUGCUCGUUGCGAAUGGCUUCUAUAGAAACAUGCUAAUUGUUAAUACUGUUGCUUUGUUAGUUAGUAAUGUACUAGAAGAGGGUUGUGUUCGACUUUUAUGUUUGCUGACUUGUCCGCCCUUCUUUUGGAUGAAACAUGGUCGGCGUGAUAGAUUAGUGGCAACACAAUACACAAUCGAUUAAAGAAGAAGAAUCAAGAAAUGAUGUAAAGAUAAGAGAAAAUGAGUAGUGGAAAUUUGGUAAUUAAGUUCACGUACGAGUAAGAUGAGAAAAAGUGAGUGGUAGGAUCCACGGUUAAAGAAGGUGUUUAGGGUGGUCAAGGACGAGAGUAACUAGUAGUAGCAUCGGAGACAAAAAUCUUAAACAUGAACAUGUUCGGAGUUAGUUAAACAUGUUAUGAGAAUUAAAGGAAUGGAGAAGAAUGGAAUAUGCUCAGGGAAGAAAACAUAUAUUUUUUUAGGGUAAAUUGCAGUCACCCCCUGAGGUAAGGUCAAAUUACGAAAACCCUCCUCCUGUUUGGGUAAUUACAAUCAUUCCUCAUGUAUGAAUCUUCCUACACGUCCACUCUUGUGGUGUCAAAAUUAUAGAAUCUUCUAGAUUAUGUGGAAUACUUUUCAGUUUGUACCCACUUUACCCCAUUGCAGCUCCACAUUUUGAAACAAGAUAGAUGAUCGUAAGAUAUGUUUCUUGGCUUGUAAAUAUCAGAUUGUGGUGCAUCUGAAACUGAUUUUUUUUUUUUUGCACUAAACGAACACAAACUAGAGAACUUGUCACGGAAUUUAGAUAAUUCUGAUGAAUUUGACACCAUAAGAGUGGACGUGUACGAAGAUUUAUAGUUGAGGUGGUGGUUGUAAUUACCCAAACAGGAGGAGUUUUUUUCGUAAUUUGACCUUACCUCAUGAGGUGGCCGUAAUUUACCCAUUUUUUACUAGUAGGGUUAAAGCAGUAAUAACUCUUUUGACCUUCUCGAUAUCCGAAGAAUCCAUGAAUAGUGGAACGAGAAAUUAACUUAACAGAUUUUGUAGUUGGACGAAACUCAAUAGUAGCUAAAGGGAAAGAACGGAAGAGAGUGCAACUUAUCGAAGCUAUGCCUUUAGGUACAAACUGUGUUUUAGUUGCCAAAAAAUCUUCGAUUUUUCUUCCUUUGACCAUAAAACGAGGGUCGGGGUAAUCCUCUCCAGAAACCUUCUUACUACCAGUUUAUUGACGUGAUUCUGAUAAUCUUUGUUUUAUUCUUACUAUUAGUUAAUAUUAUUAUUUAAAUUCAUCGAUCUAUAUUAUCGUAUUAUUCCUUAAAACGGAACAAUUGGCUGAAACAUAUCUAUAGUUAUCCCACUAGUACUUCUUCCUCAAGUUAUACAAGAGUUUUGUAUUUUUUUUUUUUAAGAGUUCCGUUUUUCGUCAAAUUUUUUUUUGGCGCCUUGGUGGUGAAGGGUUAUAUCCGUAAUUCUGGUGUAGAACUGAUGUGGAUGAACCAAUUACCAUCAUUUCCGUAUAGUAUAUCUUUUUCCUUCAUUUUACUAAUCUUUAAGCAUUUAUUCACAAUUCUCCGUCUAUAUUUGUUUGAAUAGUUGGUCAAUUCUCACGGUCAAGACUUUUUUUGCUGUUUCAGGAGGAAGGAAAAUACAGAGACGCUGCCAAAUUAGUGAUUCAUCUCAAAGAGUGCGGAUUAAAGCCAGACGUGUACAGCUACCUAAUCGCAAUGACAGCUGUCGUCAAAGAGCUCAACGAAUUCGCAAAAUCCCUCCGCAAGCUAAAGUCCUUCACAAAAGCCAACCUAGUCGCCCACCUCGACCCAGAAAGCCUCCACCUCGUCCAAGAUUACCAAAACGACCUCCUCUCCGACGGCCUCCAUCUCUCCAACUGCAUCCUCCAGGAGUGGGGCCCGCAGUUCCACGGCAUGGUCCACGAGCGCCUCCUCGCCAUGUACAUCUGCGCCGGGCGAGGCAGCGAGGCGGAGCGGCAGCUGUGGGAGAUGAAGCUAGUUGGGAAAGAAGCCGACGCUGACCUGUACGACAUUGUGCUCGCCAUCUGCGCUUCGCAGGGGGAGACGGGUUCGAUCGGACGGCUGAUGGCGCGCGUGGACUGCGUGGGCGCAUUGCGGAGGAAGAAAACACUUUCGUGGCUUUUGAGGGGUUAUGUCAAGGGGGGCCAUUUCAAGAAAGCUGCCGAGACUCUUGUUAAGAUGCUGGACUUGGGGUUUUUCCCGGAGCUUUUGGACCGGGUUGCGGUUAUGCAGGGGCUGAGUAGGAGGAUUCAGUUGCAGGGGAAUGUUGACACGUAUUUGACGCUUUGUAAGCGUCUUUCGGAUGCGGGUUUGAUCGGCCCUGCUCUUGUUUAUGUUCAUAUGAGGAAACAUAAGCUUUGGGUUAUUAAAAUGCUUUGAGUUUUUUUUUUGAGGAGGGAGCUUAUAUAUUAUAUAUAUAUAUAUAUAUAUAGAUGUAUCAUAUGUGUAUGAUAAAAUAGGAUGUUUGUAUAGAAUAAAGAAUCUUGGAAAAUGGUGUGUAAUUUUGGGGACUGAAGUAUGUGCCUGUUGUUAUGUGGUGCUGUUUAUAUUCAUAUAAUGGUAAUAAGAAUAAGGUUUGCCUUAUUACAUCCCCUCUUCAAGUUUGUAAUAACAAAUUUCUUAUGUGUUUAAAUGUGCUUUUACAAAAGAUGGCAUAUUUUUACUGCAUAUCUCUGGUUAUUUGGUAAACAAGAUUCAAGUAUUUCUCAUUCUCUGCCAUUGGCAAACUAUUUGGAAAUCUACUGUAAGUCUUAGUCUGCGUAUUAAAUUCUUCGUAUGGCAACUCUCUCAUAAUUGUCUGCCUACAUCUGACUUCCUUUUUAGAAGAAAAGCUCUGAGCAUAAAUACAUGUCCGCUAUGCGGAACCUCUCCAGAAACCAUCGUGCAUAUUUUCUUCCAAUGCCAUACACUCCAACCUCUUAUUCGCAGAAUUCCGUACGUUUCGUCUGAAACUAAAUCCCAUUUCUGCUCUUUCUUAUAUCCUUCCGGAAAAGCACAAGUCCUGAUCUCUUGAUCAACUUUACACACUUUUUUGGUUUAUCUGGAAAUAUCGUAAUAACUUUAUUUUCUAUAAUAUUCCAAUAAAUAUAAAUCAAACCUGGUAUCUUUUAAAGAACAGUUUCGUCCCCAGUAUACCACCUAAACCUAACAAAACUACACUUAGUAUUUGAUGGCAGCCUCCAACAGUUAAUUGGUAUAAACUGAACAUCGACGGUUCAACUCUCACGAAUCCCGAAAAAAUCGGCAUAGACGGUAUAAUACGAGACAGUAUGGGACAUAUGUAAUGGCAUUUGCAAAGAACAUUAUUUAUACUACUAAUAAUAAAGCUCAAAUGUGGGCUCUCUAUUUUGGGUUAAAAUAAACAAAGGAACUUAAUAUACAUCAACUUAUCAUAAAUAGGGACUCAUAUUUUCUUUUUUUCUUGCAUUGACAAGAAGGAAGCUCCUCCCAGCAGCCUACAAACUCUCUUGAUGGACCUUCGGGGAAUAUUCACUAAAUUUUCAGAGGUGGUGGUUAACUAUUGAUAUCGUAGCUAAACUCGGGUCGUCCUUAGAUACAAAUGAAAUUUUGUUGUAUGAUAGUUCCCCCAAUUUUUCAGAUUAUCAUAUAUAUCAGGAUUUUUUUUUUCCGUGUGUACAUCUACUCCUCGUAAUCGUACCAUGGUUCUAAGUUCUUAAUAUAAUAUCGUUUUUUCUUGUUAAAAAAAAUACCUAUUAAAAAUUAGGAUAAAUUAUCGGCAACUCUUGAGGUAAAAUCUAACAACUUACAAACCCAUUUGGUAUUGAUUUUUACAAUUUCUCCCUCACAAAAUCUUGAAGCUUUUAUAGAAUAUUCGUUAUGAAUUUUCAAAUCACCACCAAGAGUAAAUGUAAUAUUGUGUCUUACCUCCGGGAUACUGGUAAUGUAAUCAUAGUUUGUUUGUAUAAAAAUGCUAAUUUACACAAUUCAUCAAUUCCGGUAGCUAGAGUUUGUAACGAACUGUUAAUUCCAAGUGGUAUUUUUCAAUUACAAAUACCACAUAACUUUGUAAACUAUUUCGUCUUUAUUUAAUUCACCCUAAAAAUUAUAAUGAGAAAAUUAUAUUUCUUGAUAACAAUAUUUUUAGAAAUUAAAAUGACGUAGAUGAAUGCAUAGUAGAAAACCACAAAGUCAAACAGUCAACUUGUUUAUCCAGUCAUUCAUGAUUCAUCCAAGAAGAUAAACAUGAAUCUGGUCCAAACUCCAAACUCCAAAUUAUAUUGUCAGAUAUUCUUGGAGUUACAUGUUUCUUUUGUUUCUUGUUGAAAAUAUCUUAUUAAAUCUCAUCUUUCAAUUUUUUUAAUGUGGUAAAAUCUUUUGAUAUUACUUUAGCCAUAAUUCAACAAGAAAUUAUUCACUAAUCUUGUUGCUCUAAGAGCUUUCGUUCGAGAAACAAAGUUUUAUAGUAUCAAUCAAUAACUUCAUUCUGUUUAUUAGUUUCUAUGAUACUCUCAAUUAUAUAUUCAUCAGUCAACAGCUCUGAAACUAGUUGUUUUCUUUAAGGCAGUUUAAGAUAUCCAACAUCCAUUUUGUCAUAAUAAUUCAUUCAACUUAUUGUUUAUAUUUUUAAGUUCUUGAAAUUUCACCAUCUAACAGUUAGUCCAUAUUUUUUUUUAAUAUUUAGUAAAAAUAAUUUUAUAAAUUGUAAGUUAUUAAUUCAUGUCUAAAUUAAUAAAUUUUAAUUUAUAGAUACUUUAAUAUGAUUAUAUUGGUUCCAACUGUAUUAAUUUAUCAUGUAUUAAUUUAUCGAGGUUCUACUGUAAUUGGAAAUAAAUACACACCACGUGUGACUAGGUAUAUGAUUUAUUGCACCUAAUAAAAUAAGAAAAGUAAAAUUGCAAUACGGAGUUGAUAUUCUGAAUGGNNNNNNNNNNNNNNNNNNNNNNNNNNNNNNNNNNNNNNNNNNNNNNNNNNNNNNNNNNNNNNNNNNNNNNNNNNNNNNNNNNNNNNNNNNNNNNNNNNNNNNNNNNNNNNNNNNNNNNNNNNNNNNNNNNNNNNNNNNNNNNNNNNNNNNNNNNNNNNNNNNNNNNNNNNNNNNNNNNNNNNNNNNNNNNNNNNNNNNNNNNNNNNNNNNNNNNNNNNNNNNNNNNNNNNNNNNNNNNNNNNNNNNNNNNNNNNNNNNNNNNNNNNNNNNNNNNNNNNNNNNNNNNNNNNNNNNNNNNNNNNNNNNNNNNNNNNNNNNNNNNNNNNNNNNNNNNNNNNNNNNNNNNNNNNNNNNNNNNNNNNNNNNNNNNNNNNNNNNNNNNNNNNNNNNNNNNNNNNNNNNNNNNNNNNNNNNNNNNNNNNNNNNNNNNNNNNNNNNNNNNNNNNNNNNNNNNNNNNNNNNNNNNNNNNNNNNNNNNNNNNNNCAUUUUCUAUUUCCCUUGCUUUGGACACGGAACUUAAAAAAAAGAAAAAAAAAAAGCCGGAUAUAUAUAUAUAUACAUGUAUAUGUAUAUAUAUAUACAUCUAUAUAUAUAUAUACACAUAUAUAUAUAUAUAUACAUACAGGUAAACCUCUAUCAAUAAAUACUGCCAGGACUAGCAAAAUUCUAUUAAUUUAGGGGAAUAUUAAAUUAUGAACUAAUAAUUUAGUAGAUUUUACUGAAUCGAAUAAAAAGAUAAAAUUAUUUAAAAGAAAUUAUUAAUUUAUCGAGGUUCUUCUAUGAUGAAAGAAUGAUUUGCACGUGCUGGUCUCUCUCCACGGUAAUAUUAAUAAAAUUUAAAUAGAUUUGAACCUUGUUUUAACUUUUUAUGAGUAGAAAAACGCCGCCGCUUAAAAGUAGCUAUCAAUGACUUUAAUAAGCAAUUUUUUUUUUCAAAGAAUAAGCAAUUUUGAUUCUCAAUUUUAUUCCUAUUUAGAAGUUCAAUUUUAUACGUAACAUUUACCCUAAUAGAAAAAUUAGGUACUAACCUUGCCAAUUAGAAUUGGUUAUUUUUUCUUACGUUAUCUUCUCUGUUAACAUUUUCAAUACCUCUUUCAUAUUAUUUAUUUACGUUUGGAUUAAACAUUAUAUUUCACAAGAAAAUUUUGGAAGAAGAAUUCGGUAAUUCAGUAUUUGGCAUUAAUCCAUUGAAUUUUGAUGAAUUUGUUGUUAUUUAUUUGAAAUCUUUUAUUUAAAAUCCGUGCAUUCAAAUCUUAGUAACUCAUUUUAUAUGAUUUAUAUUCGAUAAACUUCAACAAUUAAUAAAUUAAUAACUCAAUUGCUUAUGAUACUUUGCACCCUCAAAACAUGUUUCAUAUUAUUCAACGUACUCCCUAGUCUAUUUUCUGGACAUAAUUUUCUAUCGUUUACUUAUUUUUUGAUGGUCAACAUGGUCAGUUUUGUCUAUUCAAUUGAUUUUUUUCUUUAGGGGUGCGAAUUGCUAAUGUAUUUUCGAGCAAAAAUGACUCUGUUAACUAUCAGAAGUUAGGUCAAUGAUGAUAAUUAUGGCUGAAAAAUAAACUAGGGUUCAAUUUAAACGAUUAAACAUAUUUCAAGGAUGCAAAGUAUCAUAAAUUAUUUUCAAGGGUGCAAAGUGGCAAAAUAGUACAUUAUAAUGGUGCAAAGUGAGGUUGAGCAUAAAUAUAUAUGACCAAUACACGUUUCCUACAUUCACAUCUAUAUAUAUGUGUAAAUAUGUAACGAACUAAUGAUUCAUGAUUCUAUAAGCUUAUGACAAUGUACUAUAUACAGUAUAGUUUACAAUUACAUAUAUAACCUUGCUUGAGUCAUAAUUUUAAGUUUGUUAGAGCUGAAUACAUUAAUUAUUUUGUAAGGGAGUCGAAUAGGCAAGUAAUACAUGAAUAUUUUUAAAUUUUUACUGAUAAUUGUAGGAUUAGAUCACCUUAGGUAGUUGAGAUAGAAGGAACUAGGAUAGCAAAGUGGAUCACGGCUCACGUGCUAAAUGAUUCUGAGAUAUCCAUGAACAGAGAACACAUAAAUUAGGCCGAGAGGCGUGAUCCGGCGAAAACCCCUCCGACGCUCAAGUCAGACGUGCAGAUAGUAGAAAUAGUUGAGAGAAUACGAAUUGCAGCAUUGCUCAGAUAAUAUGACGUCUGACUUGAGCAUCGGAGAUGGUUUCGCCGGACCAACCCCGACCUAGUUCACGUGUUCUCUAUUCACAAGUAUCUCAAGACUAUUUAGUCCAUAAGCGAUGAUACACUUUGCUCUCUCAGUUCCGUCAAUCUCUAACAACUUAAGAUAAUCAAAUAAUUUUAGCAUCAUCAUUUACAUAAGAACUGAAGAAUUGUUUGGAGGGGCCAUGGCCCCUUAUGACCUCAUGCUAGCUCAACCACUAAAUAUAUACAAUCACUAAAUAUAACAAUUAACAUCUACAAAACCACAUUUUUAUACGUUGAUAAAGAUAUUCUCUCUCUCUCUCUCUCUAACCUCCCAUGCAAAACUGCAAUAUUGAGAAACUAAUUUGUUAUUUAAUUUUACGUUAAUUAAAAAGAAAAUAGUAUAUUUUAAUUAACGGCCACGCAAGCAAAAACACGGCCUCUUCCAGAACUCACUCCCCUAUAAAUAUCGGUGGAAGCGGUGCAAUACAGAAAAUAAAAGGAAAAACAAUAAACAGAAAACUCAGAUUAUUUAGCAUAACUGCUAACGUGUACAUCUCUCCCAUACAAUUUGCCCCCACAUUCUCUCUCCUCUUUCUCUCUCUUCUCUCUCUCUCUCUUCAUUUCUUUUUUGUUAGAGAGCAAGUUCUGUAUAAGCUUGAAAUUAAAAGGAUUGAUCAAAGGCAUUGUUACUUUUAAUUUGUAUUUCUCUUAUAAUAUAUAUACGUACACACAUAUAUAUAUAGCUAUAGUUCAGCAUGUGUGGAAUACUCGCGGUUCUGGGUUGUUCGGAUGAUUCUCAGGCUAAACGGGUUCGCGUUCUCGAGCUUUCUCGCAGGUAAUUUUUUCUUCUUUUUUUACUUUUUGUUCAAUUUAAUUUACCCUUCAUUUUUGUUAUUUUGAAAUUGAACAAUUCGUAUGUUGAAAUCCCGGAAUCCAUGUCUUCUUUUUCAAAAGAUUCUUUUUUUUUUUUUUUUUUUUUUUUUUUUUUAUAUUAUUAUUAUUAUUAGUAAUUAGCUAACUUUAUUUUUUUCUUAUGCGGAAACUUGUAGAAGUUGAUGACUGAGACUCUCCGAUAUUGACAUAAUUUACUUCUUCUUAUUAUUAUUAUUAUUGUUUUUUUUUUCUUUUUCUUCGCAUCAAUUAGGUGGUGUUUGCAAAUGCUUAUUCAAAGUGAUUAUGAGCUUUUUUUGGUUCAAAAUCAGUUUUUGAGUGUUUGCAAUACAUGAUUAUGCUUUUGCUUCUCUUAAAAAAAUCUGAUUUAAUCUAAAAUCUGAAAAGCACCUUUCAAGCAGCUUUUUAUAUUAAUGGCAGUUUUGUAAAUAAUUAAAAGCUAAUAUUUUAACGCAAAUACAUUUUUACCCCGUGCAAAGCGCCCAAAAUCUAAGCACGACCUAAAAUUUCCCUCCUAUAACACACGACCAAAAACCUCAUAAUAUAUAUGUUCUCUGUCUCGGCUCCCGCACUGUAAAUUCGAUUCAGCGUCAAUUGCAAUUGGUAUGAAUUCUCAACCUUUUAUGGUAAUCUAAGAUUUAUUUUUUUAUUCUUGGGAAGUGUUUUGUGUUUGUAUGUUUCAAUUUAUUUCUCCACUGUAUAUGCAUUGAUUUCUCCCCUGUCCUAGCCGACUCACUUGUGUUCAACCUUUAGAUUAGCCAAACGUUUAUUUGUCUUUAUAUGCAUUUACAUUAAACAUUGAUUUUUGAUUUUUUUUAUUGCUGCCAUUCCUUAACUUUAUUUUUUGUAAAUUUUGAUCAGCACUGUGUGUGAGCAUGUCUACUCGUCUUAAUGGUCUUAACACAUUAGCUACUGGUUUUAACACAGUAGAGACCGACUAUGAAGUUUUCAUUGAAAAAAAAUGAGUUUGUACUUAAUUAGGGCAUUUAAGACAUUUUAAAAAAAUAAGCUGAAAAUUAAAAUUUAUUUUGCAAACACUGCAACUUUUUUAUUGGGUGCUUUAAGUUGAUUUUUUUGAUAUUUGCAAACACCCCCUGCUUUUAGGAAUAAACACUUAUCCUGAACUUAAAUCAGAAUCACUAACUUCUGCUUAUUUAAAAGCGUUUGCAAACACCACCUUAGUUAGGUUUGAAGCAAACGUGAUUAAAAACGAGCCCGGAUUUUAAUAGAAUGAUAUUGUAUCCAACCUCGACCCCCGGGCUCCGCCAGGAUUUUAAGUUUGAGUGGGCUGAAUGCAUUAAAAAAAUUAUAAGGGAGGCCCGUUAAUGCUAUUGUAUACAAUUCUUUUUUAUAUUUCUAUAUAAAUUAGUAGUGAUUUGAGAAAUGUUGAGGGGUCAUGGCCCCCUUUGGCCCCCUUUGACUCUGUGCUGGCCCCACUACCAAGACCCCUGUUAUCACAAUCAUAUGUAAUCCUUUCCCAUCCAAUCAAUUUUAUCAAUCUCAUCAGCAUUCCCAAACAAAGGUCUCAAAUUGUAUAAAAUAACUUAAUCGAAAUUCGCAAGAAGAUGACGAUUUACAGCUCCAAAAAUAUUACUAUAUUUUGAUUGUUUCGACACUAUUGAUUAAUUAAUUUUAGUUUUCCAACAUGAAUUGAACUUUUUAUGUGCUGUUUGUGGUAAUUAGAUUGAAGCAUAGGGGCCCGGAUUGGAGUGGAUUAUAUCAGCAUGGAGAUUGUUAUCUCGCGCACCAAAGGCUUGCGAUUGUCGAUCCCGCCUCCGGCGAUCAGCCCCUCUACAAUGAAGACAAAAAGAUUGUCGUUACGGUACGUGAAUUUAUACACACGCCAAAAAAUCGUGCGUAUAAAUAUUGAAAUACACGACAAAAAUUCAUUAUUCAUUAAUGUUAUAUAUUUACAUUUGAAUUUAUUAGGUGAACGGCGAAAUCUACAACCACGAGCAGCUUCGUCAGCUAUUGCCCAACCACAAAUUCCGUACCGGAAGCGAUUGUGAUGUCAUCGCACAUCUCGUGAGUAUUUUUAUUAUUAUUAUUAUUUUUUUCGAAAUAUAAACCGAUGAACGUAAAAUUUAAUUAUUUGAUAAUGUUUGUUUUUUUUCAGUAUGAAGAGUACGGAGAGAAAUUCGUGGAAAUGCUCGACGGAAUGUUCUCGUUUGUGCUGCUUGAUGCUCGUGACAACAGCUUUCUUGUGGCUCGUGACGCAAUCGGAAUAACUUCUUUGUACAUCGGUUGGGGACUUGAUGGUAAUUUUUCACAAUCAUCUAUGUCUAUUUAUGAAAAAAUCGAAUCAAUUUAAAUUUAAAUAUAUUUAAAUUUUUCUUGGAUAAAUAUUUAGGCUCGAUUUGGAUAUCGUCGGAGCUAAAAGGGUUGAAUGAUGAAUGCGAGACGUUCGAACCGUUUCCACCGGGCCAUUUGUACUCGAGCAAAACCGGAGCUCUUAGAAGAUGGUACAACCCCGCGUGGUUUUCCGAAUCCAUUCCUUCGACUCCGUACGACCCUUUACUCUUGAGGCGUUCUUUCGAAAAUGUGAGGUUUUUUAUUAAAUUUAAUUCUAGAUUAAUAUAUGAAAAAAUUAUAGCUCCUAAUUAAAAAAAAUAAACAAUUUCAGGCUGUAAUUAAGAGGCUAAUGACCGAUGUGCCCUUCGGCGUUCUUUUAUCGGGAGGGCUCGAUUCGUCGUUAGUUGCAUCUGUUACCGCCCGUUACCUUGCGGGUACAAAAGCAGCCAAGAGAUGGGGCCCACAGCUCCAUUCUUUCUGCGUUGGCCUUGAGGUCAGUUUCGGUAUUAAUUUUUUUUUUAAAUUUUAAUCAUGAAUAUUUCGCUAACGGAUUUUGCUACACUUGUUAUUAUGUAGGGCUCACCUGAUUUAAAAGCUGGAAAAGAAGUUGCCGAUUAUUUGGGCACCGUUCAUCAUGAAUUUCAUUUCAGUGUUCAGGUAAGCAGCAGCUUCUUCCCACUCUGUAAUGCUCUGUAUUUAUUUUUUAUUUUUGAAUUUCUUAUCUGUUCUUGAAUAUAUUAUUACCGAAAGAGUUUAUAUAUACGCUAAUUUUAUUACAAUGAAGGAUGGAAUCGAUGCGAUCGAGGAUGUCAUUUAUCACAUCGAGACAUACGAUGUAACGACAAUAAGAGCAAGCACUCCCAUGUUCCUCAUGUCACGUAAGAUAAAAUCGCUAGGGGUAAAAAUGGUAAUAUCCGGUGAGGGAUCCGACGAGAUUUUUGGCGGUUAUCUCUACUUCCAUAAGGCGCCUAACAAGGAAGAACUUCAUCGUGAAACUUGCCGAAAGGUAACAACUAAUAACCAUCUUAUAUUCCGAGGGUUAAAUACGAGGAGAAAAAAUAAAAAUAAAAUCGAAAUAAUUGUGAAUCGUGCAGAUAAAAGCCCUUCAUCAAUAUGAUUGCCUUCGAGCAAAUAAAGCAACUUCUGCAUGGGGAUUAGAAGCUCGAGUUCCGUUUCUUGAUAAGGAGUUUAUCGAUGUUGCAAUGAACAUUGACCCCGAUUGGAAAAUGGUACUUAUUUAUUUCAUUUUAAUUUAUUGACCUCCUAUUUAAUUUCAUCCUAAUGUUCUAUUUUUUUAAUAUUUUUUUUUUUAAUUCGCAGAUAAAACCGGACCAAGGGAGAAUGGAGAAAUGGAUUUUAAGAAAGGCUUUCGAUGAUGAGGAAAAACCGUAUCUUCCAAAGGUAAAUUCAUUCAAUUACGGGUUUUCGUAAUAAUAUAUCGACCACUAGUAAUUCUUGAUUAUAACUUUGUCUUAACAUACUUUUUUGGAUGACUUCGUCUGGCGCGCAGCAUAUUCUGUAUAGGCAAAAAGAACAGUUCAGCGACGGAGUCGGCUAUAGUUGGAUUGAUGGUCUUAAAGCUCAUGCCGAACUCCAUGUAUGUUUUAUUUUUCUAUUUUCACUAAAAUUACGACCCCUCGUUUUUUUUUCGUAUAAAUUAAACGUCUUAUGUUGUGAUCGAUCAAAUUAAUAGGUCACCGACAAAAUGAUGCGUAACGCUGCACAUAUUUUCCCCCAUAAUACCCCCACCACAAAGGAGGCCUACCAUUACAGAGUGAUAUUCGAGAGAUUCUUUCCGCAGGUACGUUUUUACUAAAUACAAUUCUCAAUUACAAAAACAAAUUAAAAUAUUUAAAAAAAAAAUUAGCUUUUGCUAAAUAAAGUUGUCGAUUUUGGUGAUUGCAGAAUUCGGCGAUGCUGACUGUUCCGGGUGGAGCGAGUGUAGCAUGCAGCACCGCUACAGCUGUCGCGUGGGAUGCUUCUUGGUCGAAGAAUCUAGAUCCUUCCGGAAGAGCCGCCGUUGGGGUCCACAAUUCCGGGUAUGAGAAGCAUUUGGCCAAUGGGAAUUUGACACCUAAGAUCGUUGACUCUGGUCCACUCAUGAAUGGUGUGACCCCUCCUGGACUCACCAUUCGGAGCUAGUGUGUGUAUAUAUAUAUAUAUAUAUAUAUGGGACAUUAAUUUGUAGGAUGUAAUAUAAUGAAGCUGAAAUAAAAAGCUCUGUUUAGUACUUGUGGGUCAGUACUAGAUUUUUGCGAUGUUUUUUUUGGUGUCUUUUUCGAGUUUAUUCGAAAAAAAACCGAGCGUUUGUGUGUCUUUUUUCAGGGUGAACUUGAACCGUUGCAUCUCCCUUUUUCAGGAUAUGUGUAUAUUCGGAAAUAUAUGUUAUUCGAAAAUGUAUGGUGUUAAUUUGUUUUGUGGUAUACUCGUCGAUUCAAUUGUUUUUUUACCUAUUUUCGAAAAAUCCGACCUGAACUAUUGUUUGGUGUUCGAUUUGUUUGAUUUCGACUCCUUAUCAUUAGUUUUUUAGUUUGAAUGGGUGCGUUUGGAUAGAAGGAUUUGAGAGUAAAGAUAAAAUGAAUUUAAAAUGAAGCAUCGCCUUCAUUAUUGGAUCUAUUUUAUAUAUAAAAGAAAGAAACGAUGGGCAACCAUAAAAAACUCUAAUAAUAUUUCUUUAAUUGUUUAUUUUUAAUAUUUUUCCUCUACUAAUUUCUCACUAUACUUUUUAAUAAUUAUCAAAAUUAAAACUAACCCAUGAAAAAUCCUACCUUAUUGCUACUUAUGUAAUUAUUUAUUUUUAAUAUUUUUUCUGUACUAAUUUUUUAACUAUAAUUUCAACAAUUAUUGAUCUCCUAAUUUUCAUCAAUAUAUCUCAAAUAUUAAGAGAUAAAGCUAGAAAUUCAAUAUGAAUAAUACUACAUUAUUAAAUUUUAUUAUAUUAGUGUAGUAUAUUUUCUUAUUAUGUAUUAAAUUGAUUUAUUUUUUACUAUUUAAAUUUAUUAUGUAUUAAAUUGAUUAUCUUUUUUUACUAGUUUUUCAUAAUUGUUAUUGUUUAUUUGCAUUCAUUUCAUAUAAGAUGCUAAAUUAUAUUUUAGUUUUAACAUAAAAGAAGGUAAACUUUGAGUCGUAAAAUAUUGGUUGAGUCGUGAAUAUUAAGGUCCAUCAUUGUUGUUUCGCUCAAUUGAAGCUGGUUUUCGAUGGUUGAGCACCUACGAGAGAGACUUUCUAGUGCUUUCUGAAUAACAUAAUUUUGUGAAUAAAACUCGCAUAGAUGCUCUGUUUUGGUAUUCAAUAUUACUAUCUCAAUAAUAAUUUUGUUGUUAACACAGUAAUUUAAAGAGAGAAAAAAAGUCAACGCUAGAGACCGGUUGGAAAAAUAAAUUUAGAAAAAAAAAAAUUCAAAAAAGAAAAAAGAAAAAGAAAAAAAUCAACGCCGGAGAACCGUGUGGUCAAUGCCGGAAUCUGGCCGGAAAAAAAAAAUUGAUUUUCUUUUUAAAUUAUGAAAAUGGGGGUUAAUGUGAUAUAUUUGUUCAAAUCCAAUGUCAAUGUGCAAUAUUGAUGAAGUUAGAGUAUAAUGGAUGAAAUUGAUGAAAAUUAUAUUAUGGAGGGAAUUUGAGACAAAAGACAUAGGGAUGAGUUUAUUUGCAAAACUGCUUUUUAUUUGGACAUAUGUACACAUAAGUCCCUUGUUAUGAGCAUAUGUACCAUUUUCCCAAUAAUAAAAUGGUAUAAUAUAUGAGAGCUAGAAAGUAAAAAUUACUUGCUAAAGCAUUGUUCCAAUAAUAAAAUAGCAUAUCGACAAAACGUUGUCAACAUACAUAAUAAGGACAAAUUAGAGAUUAUUGCUUUAUUAGUGAAAAACUCCUCACUCAUUAGGGUUAAAUUAGAACGGAUCCACACAUUUUUCAUUAGGGGCCUUUAGCAAUAAAUUUCUUGGAUGGAUAAUAAAUGGUGAUAUAUACAACCUUUAAAUCUUUCUUUGUGAUAACCCCUAUAAAUAUUAAUUCCUAUACUACCCUUCUGAAAUUAUAAAAUCUCCUACCCAAUGAUCUACGUUUCUCGCUUUUCUUAAAUAAUGCCUAAAUAUUAGCGAUUUUUUUCCAACUCAAUAUCCCAGUUCCUUAAAAUCAGCCAACGAAUUAAAAAAAAUAAAAAAAAUCAGCUAAAUAUACUCUAUCAAAUCAGCCAACAAAUAAAAAAAAAAAUUGCUUCACAUACAAAAUCUAAACCAACUUGCAGACGUAAAGUUUUUUUUUUUUUUUUUUAAUUAUUAUUAUUAUUUUUAAUAUUUUUCUAAUAUUUUCUUCAAUUCUUUUAAACGAAAAAAUUGAUUUUUUUCCCGACAAAUUUACUACGCCCAAAUCAUAGGUGGAAUUUACAAGGGAUAGGGGGGUUGUUGACCCCCCAAGAUUAAUUUUUUUUUUUUGUUAUUUUGGCACUGUAUUUUUUGAAUAUUACUUUUGACCCCUAAAGUUUUUGCAAAUAUGUAUCUUAAUCCUUAAUUUUUUUUCUUCUCCAUAAUUAUAUAUAUAUAUAUAUAUAUAUAUAUCUCAAUUUAAUAUAAAAAUAUAAAAUAAAAUGGUGAAAACUUGUAUUAUUUGAAAUAAAAUUUAUGAAUAUUUACAUAUUUUUGAAUUUUUUUAUCAAUAACUCUAAAAAUUAACAUGAAACGAUGCCAUGAAUCCCCAAAAUACUAAAUACGAUACAUUAUUAGAAUAAUUUGAAUUAAUUUAGAUUUGUUUGUCAUGCUUAAAAUACGAUAAAAUUAUAAUAUAUAAUGACAUUUUGAUUAAAACAUAUCAAUAUAAACUUAUUUUUGCAAUGUCUUGUGAACCUAAAUUUCUUUUCGGGCCGCUGCCCCGAACUUCGAAAUUUUAGCUAGCCCCGCCUACAUUUUCAUCCUGGUUCCGCCCCUGCGCCGAAUAUGACUAUAAUUGAAUAUGACUAUAGUCAUAUUUUCUUAAAUUCUUUUAAACAAAAAAAUGAUUUUUUUUCCCCGACAAGUGUACUAAGCCGAAUAUGACUAUAGUUAAAUAUGACUAUAGUCUAAUAUGAUUGUAUGUGACUAUAUCAACUGUAGUCAUAUUUUUUUCUUUAUUUUGCAAUUUUUGCAUUUUCAACUUUAAAUACCUGAUUAUAAAACGUAGUACAGUCAUGUUUACCAAAUUAUCUAAAGAAACAAAGGUCGCCUAUUAUUUACGAAAAAAUCCAAUCAAUAUCCACACAAAAAAAUCGCAAUUUUGAAUCUUAUUAUUACAAGUCAACUUGUAGCCACACAAAUACAUCAAAAAAAAUCACGCGUAUCAAUUCUUCAACUAAAAAAAAACCAUCAUCAUCAUUAUUAAUUAGAAAAAAAACCUACAGAUCUUAUAUAUGACUAUAUACGACUACAUAUGACUACAUAGCUGAUUAUCUCCAAUUAGUCUGCUGUUAGACAACUAGUUCGAGAAAAAAAAAAUAUAUCAAUUAACCGUGACUUUAGUCAUAUUAUGUCUGUAUUUCUUCAAUAACAGUGACUCCAAUGUGACUACAAUCCUAAUUGCGUUAUGAGUUCCUCAAAUCUUGUCGGCGUUGUUUUAAUUGCAUCAAUCCGGUACGGGUUAGUGGUGAAGAGGCGGAGGCAAGAGUGUUUGGAGUAUUUAGGCGGCGGCUGUGGCUUGCAUCUAGAACAAAUCCAGGUUUAGUGUUAACACAAGGGUAAUAUUGGCAUCACACAUAUUAAUUGUUAAAAUAUUAUAAGUAAAACUCAUUUGACAAAUAAAAUGGAAUUAAGAAGAAGAAUGAAUUACAUUUGGUAAUAUUGUCGGGCUCUCUUGAAUACUUCACCUGAUAAAAAUAAACAAAGUUUGAAUCUUAAAUCAUGAGAACACACACACACACACACACACACACACACACACACACACACACACACACACAUAUAUAUAUAUAUAUAUAUACACUGUUCCAGCCAAGCACUCGAGAAACUCAACCUUCUUCUCAAUUUCAAUUCCUCAAGAUUUCACAUUUGCAUCUCUGGGAUUGUCGAAAAGGGAUGUGUAAAUAGAAGAUCUUGCUCCGUUUGCAAAAUUUCAGGGUCGCCAUGGUUGCUCAUAAUUAAUUGGCUCAAGUUUCUACAGAUUGAGUUCUCAAAAGAGAUGUUGAAAAGGUACGACAAUAUAGAUAUAAUCUGGAGGAAGGAGGGUGAUUUUUUUAUGAGAGAACGAGAGAGAGAACAAAAGAGAGAGAGAUGCAGACAUAAAGAGAGAAUUAAUGUAAUCGUACAAUCACGUGAGAGGUUAUGGAAAGUAAAUAUUGCAAUUAUUUAAAAAAAACUACCUAUAAGGUUAGUUUCGGCUUAUCACAUUUGUUGAGGGAGUUUCACUAAUUAAGAUUGGAUUUUGAGUUUGAGCAAAAGUCUUAAAAGUCAAAUGAGUUUUACUUAUAAUAUUUUAACAAUUAAUAUGUGUGAUGCCAAUAUUACCCUUGUGUUAACACUAAACCUGGAUUUGGUUAAUCAAAUAUCAAAUUCAACCGUUCCUUACCCACCCAAAUACUCUUCCACCUCCUCACCGCCGUCAUCAAUCUGUUGUCGUCGCCGUAUGUCCCCUCCACUUCCACGCACACCGACGAUCAGAGUGCAAUUUGCAGCUGUCAAGGUAGAACGCGGACUGUAGAGUAAUUUGCGCCCCAGGUUUUCAGGAUCCAACUUGGACGGAAAUCUGUUGUGUAUGCGAUUUACUAGUACGGAAAUUUUGCAUUUUUUUAGUUUGAUGAAAUCGCGUUAGGAAUAUUACUCUAGACUAGAAGCAUGCUAAUUUUAGAUUUUACGGUUGAGUUUGUUAUGAAUUCUUUUAAUUAUGUUAAUGAUUUACCGACUUGAAAUUAUGCUUUAAGCUUAUUGCCUUUUUUUCCCCCAAUUCUAUGAAUCUUCUAAUGUGUUUAAUAUUUUUGUAGCUGAAUUGGUGGUUUUUCUAGUUGAAUUGAUGUUUUUCACUUGAAUUUGUGAUUUUCGUAGGUGAUUUUUGCGGUGUUUCCGAAGUUCAAUUGGUGAAAUCAAUUAUAAAGACGUGAUUUAUAAAGAAUUGUGCCAUGUUGAAGAGCAGGACAUAAAGAAGGUGAAUUGGAGAAGAUUGUAUUUUUUGUAGUUGUAUUUGCUUAGUUUUAUUGAAGUUUUACUGGAAUCGAGGGUGUUUUUUUUUUUCUUGUAGUUUCAAUACCUUUGUAGUUGUUUUUGAUAACUUUGUAGUUGUUUUCAAAUUUUUAUAGUUGAUUUCGGCAAUUUUAUAGUUGAUUUAGAUUUUUUGUAGUUGCUUUCGUUAGUUUUUUGUUGUUAUUUUUGGUAAACUUGCUAUUGAAAACAAAUACUUUUCGUAGUUGUUUUACAGUUUUUUUAUAGUUACUUUGGGAUAAAAUGAACAAAAAAAUUAGUUGUUUAUAGUAAUUUUACUCUUCAUUUUUCAAUUUUGGUAAACUUGUUGUUGAACACCACAAUUUUGUAGCUGUUUAAAAUGCUUUUAUAGUUGAUCCUGGAAAAAUUUGAAAUACAAAAAAGUGAAAAAAAAAAAAAUUUUAGUUGAUUUUGGAAAAAAAUUGCAGUUGAUUUCAGAUUUUUUUUGGUUAAUUGUGAAAAAAAAAACCUGAUUUUCUUUCAAAUCAUUAAAAUAAAUAAACGAACAAAAUUAAAAAAAGAAAAGAAAAAUACACUACAAUGAUGGGUAAUGAGUAGUGAAUACAUGAAGAGUAAAUUUGAAAAUAAAUGAAUGGAUGAAUCUAUUACUAAUAAGUGAAAAGUGGCUGAACCCAUCGUUACUAAACAAAAUGGUGGGGGGUUGUUUCACUAAUAGUCCCGACAAAUUAUGGCCUCCCCGAUGUAUAAUAAGGACAAAUUAUGGCCACCCCCAAUGUAUGUUCAAAUUACGAAAACGCCCAUUAUAUUUCAGUAAUUACAAUCACCCUUCAACUAUGUACUACCUUACACGUCUACCUUUACGGCUUAAAAUUACCCGUUGAAUGAGGGGUUUUACAUAAGACAAUACGUAAUUAAGAAGUAAUUGUAAUUAUUAAAACACGAUGAUUUAUUUUUAAUAAUUUAGGCUUACCGCUUACCUUAGGGCUGACCGUAAUUUUGCCCAACGUAAGAAAAGAAGAAUAUUAUUUUGGAUAAUUAAUAAAUACAUGAGUUGGCACCAACAAUACUACACACUAGCAAAAACUUGGGGAGCAAGGAAAGGAGAAUGUACAAUAAUAAUCGAAGCAAAUUAAAUAGUCAAACUCUCAUAUAUUUAAAUGGAAAAAAAAAAAAGAGUACUAAUCCCUAGAAUUGUGUAACAAUCUUUUUCCUAUUAUUAUAAUAUGUCAUUAUUCUAAUUUAUUUUCCUUGCACGAUCAUCUCAUUUAAUUAAUACUUUUUUAACUUACCAAAUUUAUUUGAUAUGUACGUGCGCAUAUAUACACGCGUAACACACAUAUAUAUAUUAAUAAUAUAAAAAAAUAAAAAAUCAGACACGUGCUUAGAUAAAAUAUAUAAUUAUAACAUUAUUAAAUCGUUUCCUACCUUAAGUCCAAUAGAUAUACUUGGUAAAUAAACUUCUUUUUUUUCUUGUUUUUAUUUAAAUUAAUUUAGAGAGAGAGAGAGAGAGAGAGAGAGAGAGAGGAGAGAGAGAGAUUAAGCAGAUCUGUUAAAGGAAAUUAAUAAAAGGGAAUAAAAAGAGGGGUUUCAGCAAAUAAUAAAAAAGAAUCACAAAACCCCAAUGCACCAUCACAACUCCGACUCAAAAACCCCAAAGGAAAUAACUUGAUCUCCAAUGGCGGCCGUAACAACACGUCGAAAGCUGCUUCCUGAUGAUAAAGUUGAGGUAUUAUUUUUUAUUUUUCACACGUCCUUCUCUCUCUCUACGGAUUCUGUAUAAAAUCAUCUCCUGUGCCAAUUUUUGUUGGGCUCUAUUUUUUAAUUUUUUUUUUAAAUUAGUAAAAAGGUUUUGAUCUUGGGGUUUUUUUUUCCUUUUUCUUCUCUCUGUGUGAGUUUUUUUCAUCUACAUUGAAUUGUUUAUGUGCUGUAACGUCAAUUUUCCGAUUUUUGUUUCUUAAUUUUACUUGCAUUACUCUCUCUCUCUGGGUUAAAAGGUUGUAUUUCUUGUAUUUGCAUGUCGAUUUUUCUCUGAUUUUUCAUGCACCGGGCAAUUGGGAUUUUCUUUAUUCGGUUUAUGCCGACAUGCAAAAAUUUAAUUUCCUGUGUGAAUCUGUGUAUGGAUUAUACUAAUUGUAUGUAUCUCCUUUUUUCAGAUUCUGUAUAUAUAUAACCUUUACUCCUUUCCAGUUCUGUGAAAUAUACUAUUUUUAAAUUCUGUAUACACUUAUUUGUUUCUAUUUACGCCAUUUCCGUAAAUUCCGGCUUAAUUUUAUUUUUUUCCGAUAUUCGUGCCAGGUGAGGAGUCUCGAAGAUGGGUUGCUCGGUUCAUGGCACGCCGGCACAGUAAUCACCUGUCAAGAUUCGAUUCGUUUAAUUCGUUACGAUCACUUUCUCAGCGAAGACGGCUCUUACAAUCUGACCGAAGAGGUAAAAGUGGGCCCCACAAUUGAUGGAAUUGCCCCCACUGGCCCACCACAGAAUCACCGUGGCUUAAUAAGGCCUCUGCAGCCUUCCCCUGUUCCUGGUCCAUGGUUCCUACACUACGGUCAAUGCGUUGACUUAUUCUACGAGGAGGCUUGGUGGGAAGGUGUGGUAAUCGACCACGAAGAUGGAUGUGAGUAUCGGAGAAUAUUCUUUCCCGACAUGGGCGAUGAAAUGGAAGGGAGAAUUGAUAAUUUGAGGCUGAGUAAAGAUUGGGAUGAGUUUACCGGAGAAUGGAAGAUUCGUGGGAAUUGGGUUUUUCUCGAAUUGAUUGAGGAAGUCGAACAAGAAUGGCCUUUGCCCGUUUCUGUUAAGCAGAUUUGGUACGAAGUGAGGAUGAAGAACGAAUUUGAAAAGCUAAGGGAGUGGACUUGUUCUGGUGCUCGUGUUUGGAGGGAGUUGGUUUCGCAGGUUUUGAUCGAUAAUUUAAAGAUAACCGUUAAGCAGAUCUUUGUCGAAUUGAAUUCAUCUUGGAAUUCGGGACAAUCUUUGGUGGAAUUUAAUGAAUCGGCUUUCGACUUUGUUAUGAAAAAUGAGGGACUUUUUAGUAAAUCUCUUGCAAUGGUGCCCGUUGAAGCUGCUGCCCCAACUGAGUUGAAUGAUCAAAGUCACGUUGAGGUCCAAGAAAAGAACAAACAAACUCGAGCUAUUCUAUCCCAUAAUCAUGAUCGAGAUUCUAAUGAUUACGCUGAAGCUCCUGUUUCGAGUUUUGAAUUCCCACAAGCGAAGAAAAAUAGACUAGUGUGGCAGUCAGUUGUACCUAAAUUGAUUUCUGGUGCGGAGUUUUGUCCAAACUCCAUUGAUGAAUAUAACCAGCAGUUUAUAUUGAUGAAAAGGCCCUCACCUACAGUAAUUAUGAGUGUUCGUAAACAUCUGUUGCAUUUGGGCUGGAAACUGGAGUUCACAGUCGAUAAGGGGGUACUUAGAUUUCGUUACCUUUCUCCCAAUGGGGAAUGUUUUUAUUCCAUUCGUCAGAUUUGUUUGAAGCUUGACCAGUCAAAUCACGAGUUGGAAAUUCCAGUGACUUAUACUAAAGAAAUCAUUACGCCUCCAUUUGCUGAAAAGCCGAAAGCUUCGAGUGAGCUGGCCAAGUUGGACACAGAUGAUUGGGUCGUCGUUGAACCUGAGUAUUGCCCUGAAGCGGUGAGUGAUUAUUAUUUAUAUGGCGUAACUAAGAAAAAAUUAGGAUCCCAAAAUAAGGAGGGGAAAACAAAAUCAUUGAAAGCGAAGAAGCACUUGUCUGCUACUGGCUGGUCUUUUUAUUACAAAGUCAAAGGAUCCGGUAGGGAAUUGCGGUACCUCUCACCAACUGGAAUGUUAUUUUACUCCCUUCUUUCAGUCUGCAAAUGGUGUGUACAAAAUCCAAAUCAUUUAACGGAUUUCGAGAAUCAGUCUCAUCUUCCAUUGCUUGCUGUGGAAUCGUCAUCCGUAAAUUUACCUCCACCAAAUGAAAAAUUCAAGAAUCUAUCAAAUGAGUCAAAGGGACCAGCUCAAUCGACUGAAGGUGAAAUUUACAAAACAAGAAUUUCGAGGAAGAAGAGAAAGCACGAUAAAUUACGUUGUAGUGAAGAUAUUGAAGAUUCAUCAUUGGCCAAGAGUGGAAGGAAAAAAAAAUCCCGUUUAUCGAAUAAAGUAAGAGAAGAUAAUAUGGACGAUGAUUCUUCAACCCAUGAGAGGCGAUCGAGUAAAAGGGUUCGUGACAUGAUAAAUUCUUCCACUCAGCAAACUCCUCGGACAAUCUUGUCUUGGUUGAUCGACAAUAAUGUGGUUUUGCCUAGAGCAAAAGUUCACUAUCGAGCUCGAAGCGGUCUCCCAAUGGCAGAAGGAAGAAUAUCACGUGAAGGGAUUAAAUGUUCUUGCUGUGGAGAAAUCUUUACGCUUUGUAAAUUCGAAGCACAUGCUGGCAGCAAAAAUCACAGGCCGUGUGCGAAUAUUUUUCUUAAUGAUGGCAGGUCUUUGCUCGAGUGCCAGCUGGAAUUGAGACAGCAUAAGAGCAACAAAUGUUCGAAUUCACGAUCGAGCAAAAAAACGAAGGGAGGCGAAAGUGGUAAUAGAAACGAUUACAUUUGUUCUGUGUGUCACUUUGGAGGUGAAUUAGUUCUGUGCGACCGAUGUCCCUCUUCGUUCCAUAUCCAGUGCCUUGGUUUAAAGGUAUUCCCUUUUUUCUUGAUUGUUAGUAUUAGGUAACUGUUGAGUGGAAUCUUGGAAGAAUAUUCUGUUUGCUGAUUGUGUUGUUUUGCUCUACAGGAAAUCCCAUCUGGCGAUUGGUUUUGCCCGUCGUGCUGUUGUAAAAUUUGUGGGCAGAGCGGAUUUGGUGAAGAAAACGAACAAGCCAAAGAUUCUUCUUCUGCAGUUGUUUGUGGUCAGUGUGAGCAUCGAUGUAAGUUUCCCAUAUGUCUUUUUCCCGUGUUUGUUGGACGUCUAAUACAUAAGCUAAAUUUAAAUGCAAUCUUUAUAUCAUGCUCUAAUUUGUUAACUACUUUAUGUAGAUCAUGCGGAGUGCCUCAGAAAUAAAGGAGUAUUAAAUUGUGAUCCCGAAGGGUAUUGGUUUUGCCAAGAUAGUUGUCAACAGGUACCUUAGCUUUAUUUCCUUUUACGAAUGUGAUAAUAUAAUAAUAUCGAGAUGCUUGUUGUGUGUUGUGUUUUAAUACGAUGAUAUAUUACUUUUGCAGAUAUUUAGUGGUCUGCAUAACAUUCUUGGAAAAUCAUUUCCUCUGGGGGCUGAUGACUUGUCUUGGACUUUAGUGAAAUAUAAAAAAUCGGAGUCGCAUGAUCAUAAUAAUACGUCUGAUAACGAGGGUUUAGUGGAGAAUUACAGCAAGCUUAAUGUUGCUCUGAGUGUGAUGCAUGAAUGUUUCGAACCUGUCAAAGAACCUGGCACUGGGAGGGAUCUGGUCGAAGAUGUUAUUUUUAAUAGAUGGUAAGAUCUCUCUCGUGUAUAUGUUUGUUUUUAUUGAGAGAAUUUUGUAUGGUCGAUUACUAUGUAAGAGUUGGAGCUUAUUACAUCUUCUCUAUUUAAUGCAUACUUGUAUUAAUAGAUGAAUCAACCCUUUAAAGUGUCUUACAUUUGGUUUAAUUUUGGAAAAAAAUGUUUCGACGGAAUAGAAGAUUGUAUUGGUGAAUAUGCAGGGACGUUCGGUUUUAUUUUGAGAGAAUAGAAAUUAAAAACGAAAAAUGAAAACUGAAACGAAAUAGGAAUUUCAUCUUUCUAUUGCUUUUAUCCUAAAAUAGGGAACCCCGUGUUUGCUCUCAAUCAAACGCAGGAAAGUCGUACUAAUUAUAAUAUGAAUUUCUUUUUCAGGUCAGAGCUAAACCGGUUGAACUUCCAAGGGUUUUAUACAGUACUAUUGGAGAAGAACGAAGAACUGAUAUCAGCUGCAACAGUGAGGUAUCUUAUUAUGCUUUAACAUUCUCAAAUUUGCACGUGUUUGAUUAUAUUAUAUUCUUUCAGAGUAACUAGAAAAUCCCAUGUUUUUAAUUCCAGGAUUUACGGCAAAACAGUAGCAGAAGUCCCUCUUGUUGCUACACGGUUUCAAUAUCGUCGACUUGGCAUGUGUCGGAUUUUGAUGAAUGAACUUGAGAAGGUGCAGUAAACCUGUUUUUUUUUUUUUUUUUUUUUUUUUCUAUUUUUUUUUCGAGGGCAUUGAUAUGUGAAUUAGUCUUGAUACCAUCUGAUUAAUAUACGGCUGUCUAAUAUGUUUAAAUCGAUUUUGGUUUACAGAAACUGGCGGAAUUGGGAGUAGAGAGGCUUGUUUUGCCAGCUGUGCCUACUGUACUUCACACUUGGACAACUGCAUUUGGCUUCUCGGUUGUGAAUGAAUCUGAGAGAUUAAAAUUUCUCGACUAUACCUUCCUCGAUUUCCAGGGCACAGUUCUUUGCCAGAAAAGCUUAACUAGUAAUCCUUCUUUCUCUCCGUCAAGCCCAUUCACAGGUACAUUAAAUGCUCAAAACUAGUAAAGAGCGAUAAUAAUCAAUCUACUUCUCGAUUCUCUAUUUUUCAAGAAAAAUAUUAUGCAACGUCUCUAAGAGAAUUUCAAUUUCGGCAGAAAAACAGGCGAAAAGUUCCGAACUUGUGAAGGAAAAUGCCAAUAUGGAGGUGGAUGGAAACAGUGCAGUUUCUGAAGUCGUUCAAAUCGGACAAGCAGAGGACACUAUCAACAUUGUAGAUGAAUUAUCUUCUAUUACAUGGUAAUGCAAUAUUAAAACGAUAAAAAUAUGUUGCUUGUUUUCAUAUCGAUUUAAUGUGCUUGUAUGUAUGUAGCUCCUUUGUUUCAAAUUAACGGUACCUUCGAAGAAUUUUUUUUGGUUCUAUAUUAUUUAUUAUUUUAGAAUUCUAAUUGUUCGAUGAUUACAUUUUUCCCGAUUUUUCCUUCUCGGCUCCUAAGUUCUCUAGAAUAUUAGUCCUCACAUAUAAAAAAGAGUAAUUAGUUAGCUAAUCAUUGCGGUUUUAUUUUUCAGCACUGCAACAGUUGCGGAAAAUGAAAACGGCAACUGCUCAUCUCAAUUGGCUAUUGAGGUACUUGAUAUCGGCCAAACCAUUUGAAUUAGAUAUAUCGAUCUUAUAAAAUGUAAGCAUAUUUUUCGGAAAUUUUUAUGGUGAAUUAUGUGUGCAGGUGGAUGUAUACAAACCGUCCAAAUGCUUACCUGUCCAGACCGAUAUUUCGCUUCAACACCCUGUAGUAAUUAGCAAUGACAAACAAGAAAACAAUGGUAGGGCGGUUCUCAAAUGCUACAAGCGAAGGAGAAUAUCAGCUUGUUGAGGGUAAUUUGGUAAUUUAUUCAGGCGUUAGGGAUCAUACCUCCGUUUCUAAUAUGAGGUCUUUUGUCAUCCAGAAACUCCAAGCUAUAUUCCAUGUAAAUUACGUAAUUUUGGGAAUCAGCUGAGUGAUACUCGAAAGCUUAUGUUAGUUUUAUGUACAGAUGACUG